rnacentral:lncRNA from 1 species
UUUUUUUUUUUUUGUUGUAAAUCAUAUUAGUUGCUGAUCAUGAAACAAUUUCAUGUUUGGUUUAAGAGAAUAGGCUUGAUUCAGUGAGAUUUGGAUUCAUGAGUUAUAGCCAUCUGAGGUAGGCAAGAGUGUUUGCAUUCCUUAGAAAAAAAUUGGGAGCUACAAAACUAUGCUUUAAAUUUGAGUUUUGUGAUUACUAUUUUUGAUCUUUAUCUACUCUAGCUAUACAAUUCUUCCAUGUUUUUCAGAUCAUGGAAUGAGUUUCUCAUGCUGAGAUUGUAACCCAAUCAAUAAGUAAGUGAAACACAGAAGUUCUAUAUCGCAUGUUAGUUGUGAUCAAUUUCUAAAAAUCCGAUGUAGUGGAUUGUUAUCUUAUUGGUUACGCAAAACGAUUAAGGUUUUAUGUUUUUUAGGAUCAUAAACAUACCAUAAGUAGGAAUAAUUACAUAGAACGUGAGGACAAUGGUGUGAAUAAAUAAUUUGUUUUGAAGAAGGAGAGUUAAUUAGUAGUUAAACACACCAAUGUUGUAAACCUACAGACUAGUCAAAUAGACCAAAAGAUGAUGUAGACGAUAUCGAAUAAGAAGAAGAUCAAGAUGGAAUCUCUAUAGAAGGCCCUACAACAGAACAAGAGCCAAAGAGGUCUGAAGGUAAAUAAAGUCAUCUAUAUGAUUCAAUUUUGUGUACUAAUAAAGAGUUAUUUCUAGUUCACAUUUUGGAAGAGGGUUGAAGCUAUAUAAACUAAAUUAGAGUUCAUGAAAAACAAUAAAGCGUGGGACUUAGUGGAACCAAAACAAGGUAUUGGGUCAAUAGGACGUAAGUGAGCGUUUAAGACUAAGAAGGAUUGAAGGGGCCAAAAACCUUGAGAUAUGUAUCUGUAUAUUAAGGAGGUUGAGUUUCGAUGACAAAAUUCUCUUUACAGGGAAAGAAUAUAUGUACUUUUCGGUUCUUGCUUAAUGUAUGAAUUGUUUUGGUUGAUUGUCUUGAAAGUUGAUUCUCUUUUACAGCAAACUGGGAUUUUAAACCAAGAAAUUUGGAGGUUUUAAAGAAGUAGGGCUUAGUAAUGCUUAAGGGAUUAUAGUAAGAGAAAAGGUGAGAAAGCUCAUUACUGUUAGCAAAUUAUGGCUAAAGUAGUUGUGCUAUUAGAAGUUGGACAAAAGAAAUUUUAGAGCCUUGAAGUAUUCAAGAGAUUUGAAAGAGUAGAGAUUAAGUAUAGGCCAUAUGCAAAAGAAAAUGUUGUGUUAUCUCAAGGGUCAAUAUAAAAACACAUACUAGUUUUCAAGAGGAAAGAAAAGUUGGAAACAAAUGGUUUAUUCAGAUUCCAAUUUUGGUAGAUUAUAUACUUCUAAAGUCAAUUUCUAGUUUUGCGUUUGUAUUAGAAUUGGAGGUGCAAUAUUAUAGACAAAUGUUAUGCAAUCAAUAGUUAUUUUUCUGUACUAUGUAUGUAUACUUAAUUCGUGGAUGUUGUGGAGCUCUAACGCAUGCAGGGUAGUUAAAGUUUUCUCCAUACCGGACGCCCUCAAUAUUUGCUAGAAAGAGGAAGAGUGAGGAAAUGAUAUACAAGUGUUGAUUAUAUUCACACUACAGAUAUGACUACAUAUAUAUUAAUAGAGUUAUUCCUCAGUUAGUUUCUUUAAAGCAUGUCACUAGAAUGGGAGAGUUAUCAAGCUUUAAAGAUGCCUAAAAUUAGUGGGAGCUAUUUUGCUUUUCAAUUAAAAAUUCAUGGAUAUGCAUUAAGGAUUGAUGUGUUUUAUUUCUAAAUACUUGUCAUUACAGCAAGCCAAUUUUGAAGAUUGUCUUUUCGACAUAAGGGCUUAUUUUAAGCAUUAAGGAAGAUCAUGUUGUGAUCGUAAAGAGGACCAUAUAUGUGUUUAGUGUGAUACUCACCCUUAAGCCUUAAGCACACUUAUCAUAUAUAUACGUUUGUCCACAACUUGUUGGUACUUUAUGUGAAUGUUGUUGCUUGUAUGUGAUUAUAGAGGUACACAUCCGCCAUAUUGGAUAUCGUAGUCUAUAGUCCUACGAGCUAAUGAUAUUUGACACUAAGUUUGAAUAGAUAUUGCUAUCAAAUAAUCUUCCAAAGUUGCGCGCAUCAAGAAAUUUAUUCAUGAUCCAAAGAGCUUCUUGAAUAGAUGUCACGUCCAAAGAGCUUCCUAAUUGUGAAACAAAUUCGGAGGUAAUUCUUCAUUCCAACUGACAAAGGAAAAAGAAAAUAAAGGAAAAGGCCAUUGCGAAGUGAAAUUCUCAUUCCUACACUAGUUGGUAACAUUAGUAAUAUUUCUCAUUCCUAUACAACUACGGGUUGUGUGAUGAGUUUUUUUUUUUAAUCAAACCUCGACUGUACGAGGGAUAUUUUAUUGAUAACGAAAAAAAGUUAUAUCUAGUCAGGGGUGGACAUAAACCUUACCCCUCAUAAUACCAAGAAAAGGAGAAAAAGAACAUGAAUAAGAAGGGGAGGACAUAAACCUUACCCUCUAGAGGGGGGGGACAUGAAACCUAACCCCUCUAAAGUCAAACCUAAAAGGUCUAAAACUUGCAAAACAAGUCAAACAAUAACACCACAAGGUUAGGAAAAAACAAGAAAUGAAGACAUACCUGCAUGGCGAGAUGCACAUUAGUUUGAGAAGUGGAAGCCAGGCAUGCCUACAUAGUCUGAAAACAAAGCAUCACGAGCGGGCGGGGGAGGGGAGUCAUGCCACACCAAAGUUGGAGAAAACAAGUCCAUGUUAGCAAAUUUAUUUGCAACAACAUUUCCUUCACGAUAUAUGUGAGAGGCGUAAAAGGCCAUAUUUCGAAUGUGGUCCAGACAAAUAGACAAUUGUGUACGAAGAGGCCAAGGAGGAUCAAAAUCGGUUGAUUGGAUAGCAGAAGAGUCACAUUCCAACCAAAGGCAAUGCUAACCCAGCUGAUAUGCAAACUUGACACAAUAAUAGUUGCUGAUAAUUUUGCAAAAAAUGAGUUGCAAUGACCAAUCCAUUGACAAAAACCACCAAGAAACUAACCAUGGCAAUCCCUAAAAACUCCUCCACAUAAAAUUAUAAAUGAAGUGUGAUGAGAAUAUAAGAAUCUAAUUAAGGUGAAUGGUGAGUUACAUUUUGGAUUUGUAUAACCAUCAAUGUUUCUAUGCUGAUUUCAUUAUUAUGUGAUUUUCAGUUAAAGACUAAUUUUGUUUUCCUAUCAUGUUCACUUAGAGGUGUUAUGCUAGAGUUGGAAGGCACUAUAGUGGUAGAAUUGCAAUCCGCUUGACAUGGAAAGGUAGUCUCCAUGCAACCACUCUAACCAAAUACUUUACUAAUGCUUUUCAACUAUUACAAUAAUAUUUGUGAUAUAUUUUUUUACGUCUUUUAGAUUUGUUUACCUUACGAAUGCAACGAUUAAGGUGUUACAAAUUUCGAGGACGAAAUUUAUUUGAAGGAGGGUAAAUUGUAAUACCCCGUAUUAAAAAAAAUAUAUAUGUAUAUGUGUGUGUGUGUGUGUGUGUGUGUCUAAGUAAUUAUUUUUAUUUCAAAUGUAAUAACUGUAUUGGAUUUCUUUAUAUACGUUAUGAGUACAAAAAAAACCCUCGUAUUUUUGGCAUGUAAGUUAGUAGGAAUUCUUUCACUACAAGAUUAAAUUAAAGCGUGGCUAGUACUUUUAAGGCCCCGCGUGACGAGUUUUGCCCGACUAUGCUUUUCUGACGAACCUAUGUCGGGUAAAGUUUCCAGCGAUGAGUCCUCCUUUUAGCCAACAAAGAUUUUCCCUCUGGCAAAGUGGUUUUUUUAUUUUUUAUUUUUUAUGUGUGUGUGUGUAGUGUGUACUGGAGAUAUGCAUGUAGCUGCUUGAAUUUAGUUGAUUGUUGUUAUCAUUCAUUAUUGUGUUUACACCUCUUGAGAAAAAUAAUUUAUGCAGGAUUUUUGCCCAAACGAUGUCUGAAUUUGCAUCACAUGUCAAGAGACAUGCUAGUUUGAUCAAAAUAGGGACUAGUAGUGGGGCCCACUUCACAUCGAACAUCACCGAUCGGAACCGUUUAUUUUUCAAGUUGCAUUUUAUAGAUUGUCCUUGCAAAAUAUUAGCCAAAUCGAAGAUGUUCGAGGCAUCUAGUUGAGUUCAAAGAAAUUGAAGAACACUAUGUUCCUUUUACACUAUUGGUACCUUCUACAACUCCAUAAAAAUCUGUUUGAAGCUACAAUAAAAAGAGAAAUUAUUGUUCGGCUUAACGAUUCACUGCCUUCGUCAGAACCCAAGAAUCACUUGUAAGCUACGGUUUGUAUUUUAAUUGUUUUAAUCAACACAACAGUUUGUACGGUUUGUGUUGUUGUCUUAAUCAUAAGCUAUAUGGUGUGGAAAAUGUGUGUAGCUCUCAUAAUCAACACACUAGUUGAUACUUGUGUAGCUUGUUGCUACAGUUGGUAUGUUUAGGUUAGAUAGUUUUCAUUGUUUUAGCAAGAAUAGAUUAUUUUGCAAUGCACACACUGUGUUUGUUGAAAGCCUAUGUGGUAAAUUUGCAUUUGGUGGUUUUGUUUUUUAUUAAGGUACGGCCAAUUAGGUUCAAUCGAUUCGGUACAGUCAGUUAGGUACGUAGGAUGUGAAGCACAGAUGGAAACAUUGUAAGUAGAAUAGGAUGUGAUGUGAAGGUGGGGGAUGAAAUCUCAUUGCAAAAUAAUGUAAUGUGCAUCGUAGCUAGGUAGGGAUUGAGGAUAUGGCCUAAAAUAUUUGCUGGCUGUGAAGUGCCAUCAUUUUUUUUAAUUUUUAUAUGGUCAUUUAGGUCUGGUCGAUUCGGUAUGAUCAGUUAGGUACGUUACUUAGGAUAGGUUCAAUCAUUUCGGUACAGUCAAUAAGGUACGGAAAACUUAUGUUUGAUUCCAAACAACACCUGAUGACUUAUAUUUGAUUCUGAACAACACCAGAUUAACCAUUGCUGCAAUUGAAAAGCUUAUAUAUGUUUGCUCAGUUCUCUGAGCUUGACAAUGAUUUUUACAACAAUGGGUUGCCUUCAAAUCCAACACCAAUCAACAAUCCUAGAUUGGAUUAAGGGUUCAAAAGCGUGGAAAUUGCCAGUCAAUAUCACAACAACUGUAGGUGUAGUUGACGAUGAGUAAUAAAACUAAAAUCACCAAAAAAAACAUAGUUCUAUCGAUUUCAGGUUCAGUAUAUAGAAAAGAAGCGUGAACAUCAUCAUCAGCAGAGAAGGAGGAAAAAACUUCAUUGCCUCCAAAGAUGGGGGAUGCCAUUGUAACCGAAAGAGGAGAGAUGUGAAGAAUCAAUACAUACAAAACAUUAAAACAUUGAUUUGUACCCAAGGGUAACUAGGGAAACUAAAACUACAAUAAUUCUAUAAAAAAUUUGAUUAAAUAUGACAUGGAAUACUAGAAUCUGACGUGGAGGACUAUUUUUAAUUUUUAAUCUUCCAUACGGUAUUACUGAAAAAAUAAACUUAUUUAGGGAUUAAAAUGAAUUCUAAAUAAGUAUAUACUGUUCUCUUGUUAAGACCAUUUAAUAUGUUAUCCUAUUAAAUCGUUAACAAGAAUAUUUAGACAUGACCAUACACCAUCUAUAUAUAAAACAAGAAUGUUCCAAGUGAUGAUUUGGAUCUUCCUCUUACACGUAAACGAGUACUUAAUUAAGUUUUAGAAUAAUUAAUACAUGUUACCAUCUCAAGCCAAAAAUCAAUAAGAAAUAACGGGUGCGAAGUAGCAAAGGUUUCUGAAUUUUACCCCAUGUUUAAUCUUCGUCCCUAAACUCUAUUAAUUUUUCUCAUCUUCCAACUUAACUAUGUUUUAUAUGAGUAGUCCUUUUCGUCAAAUUUAAAGGUAUAAUGGUAUUUUCAUACAACAACAAAAUCUAAAUUAUUUAAAAAGAGAAUAGCUUGGCUCCUUAAGGUUAAGGAGGAGUUCCUCCUCAAAAGACUUCGUGGCCUAUUCACAAAAUUUCAUGCUUAUGAUCGGAACCGUUCAUAUUAUAGAUCACUAUGUAAAGAUCAUCUCUGCAAAAAAUAAAUUAAAACUAAAAUCGUUUAGUCAAUCCUUAAGGAGUUUUGAUCAGAAGCUCGAAGUUCUGUAAAUAGAUCACAAGUUAUUUUAAUGAGAAGUUCCUCCUCAAUCCUUGAGAAGCCAAGUCUUGUCUUUCUCUCUCUUUUUGUUUUUGUUUUUUUUUUUUUAACAAACAAUACUAUCUACAUUAAGGGAGAGUAAGCCUCACAAUGGACUAGCAAUAAUGUGGCUCAAAUUCGCCUUUUGUGAGAAUCGAACCUAAGACCUCUCAUUUACAAGUGAAGAUAAAUACCACUUAGACUGUAGUACUAAGUGACAAGUCUUUCCCUUUAAAAACUUCAUUUUUUUUUUUGGAUGAAACUCCUUUUUUUUUAUAAUGAAAUUCCUAUUUUAUCUCUUAACUUAAUGGAAAAGUUGACAGAGUUAACGAAAAAGACUACGCAUGUGACCCUUUAACACAGUGGUGGAAAAGAGUUGAGCCCUUGCAUGAUGAAGUGGGUUCGAACUCCGUUGGUGGCUAAUCUAAUAUCUAAUCUAAUAAAAAUCUAUUGUUUGACAAGAAAAAAAAAACGAAAAUGACUACUAGUGCAUCAAAUGACAUAAUUGGAGGACGAGGGAAACUAUUAGCAGAGUUCAGGGACGGAAACUAAACAUGUGAUAUAGCUCAAUGACCAUUGCUACAAUUUAGUCAGUAACAAUUAUUAUAUUUUUUUAAGAAGAAACAACUUGUUUAGGGAUAACUAUAAGGGAAAUUUUAUUUGAACCCAUAUUUUGUAUCUCAACACCCAUCUUACUUUCUAUACCCACAUUGUAUUUGAUUUAUCUAUCAUUAUCUCUUUACACCCAACAUUAUUUUCGAAACCGCCCUUACUUAUCAAAACUCAACUCAAUCAAACUUUGUUUUACACCCAACUCAAUCUACUUAAAAAUAAAAAAUAAAACCCUAACUAGUCCAUCAUCUCCAUGGAGCAAAGUCCCUUCUCUCUCUAAAAAAUCCUUCCAUCUCCUAUAAGUGUCAUUCUGCACCCCAUCUACUCUUGCGUAGUCAUCCAAACCUCUUCCUCUUGCUUUUCUUAAUCAUUUGACAUCUCUAAAUUUCUAGAGCACUAAUUAGCUUAAUAAUUGGUAUGUGUUCAAUCGAUUGGUUCAAUUUUUACGUAUUAAUUCCUUUUUCUUUUCAAUUAAAUGAGCUUCUGGUUAGAGUGUUUAAUGAGUUGGUAUGUUUUACUUAAUUGAGAAUCUUCUAGACUCUAUAUUCCUAUCUAUGGUAGAUAAAUGGGUACGUCCAUGAUAACUUUUGGUAGAUCAAUGAAUAUUUUUAACCGUGGAUAUAUAUAUAUAUAUUUUGUCGAAACCGUGAAUAUUUAUUAGAUACAAAAGUUGCGGACAACAAUUCACAUUACAUUGAACUGUGGCUAAAAAGUAUAUCGCCUUUGCACGUUUUAAGGGCGAACUCAUAGCUAAGCAGUUUUUAUUAAGGAGCAAAACUUCGGGAAUUGAUCUAACCUGGGUGUGUAAUUGAGUUUAUGCAUUUUGAUGAUUAAACUGAUAAAUAUUUCAACCACAUAUGGAUUUAAUAUCAUAGUAUCUUUUAGCUUCUAUAUGCCACAAAAGUUGCGGACAAAAAUUCACAAUACAUAGAAUUGUGGUAAAAAAGUAUAUCGCCUUUGCACGUUUUUUAGGUGAACUCAUAGGUAAGCAGUUUUUAUUGUUGACCAAAACUUCGGGAAUUAAUCUAACUUGAAUGUAUAAUUGAGCUUAUGAAUUUUAAUGAUUAAAUUCAUAAAUAUCUCGACCACAUAUUGUGAUAGCCCGUCCCGAACUAUUAUCAAUUAUGGCAUGAAAAGACUAUUUUACCCUUGGUCGUUAAUUUUGUUGUGUGGUGGUGUGGUUUAAGUUUAAGUUUUAGGACUUAAGUCUUUAUUUGUUGUGGUUGGUAGCCCAAAUUAGGACCACACACACACACACCCAAAGCAACCCCGUUGACCCUUCUCUCUCUCCUCUCUCGGUUUUCUUCCUUCGUCCGUACGAUUUGUACGGUCAACUCCAAACCAACUUAUUUCUUCACAGAUCGAGCUCAUAGUUAGCACUAUCAUCUUCAUCUCAUCGUCACGAGUCCAUCCAUACCUGUUUCAGAACUUGAAACCGUCGAAAACCCAAGACCCAAAAGACCCAAUCUUGAGCAUUGUUCAUGCACACGUAAAUGUGGUGUUUUUAGAAGAUUUUAAGGUUAUAGGAAGCUUUAAAACACUCUCACGAAGCUCGGAGAAGAAAGUUGAGGGUUUUUGGACGUCGGGAAGCUCGAGUUGUAGAGUUGGCCGGUUUUCUUAAAUUUCUCCGGCGAGAUCCCGUUGGUUUUAGGUUCCAAAAGAGGUAAGAAUGUGUUCUACUCAUCAUAAGCUUCAUUUUGGUAUAAAUUUCAUGAAUUUUGGUUGAGAAAUGGAAGAGAUAUGAAGAUUUGAAAAUUUUCCAGUUUCCGGCGAGUUGUAGAAGGCGGUCUCCGACGAGGUCCAUCGGAGAAGAAGGGAGAAUAUUCCGUCAAAGUUGACGGAAUAUUCCUAACGGCGACUGACGGCGUCAGGUUAGUUUUAACGGAAUAUGCUAUUAUUUUGACUGAAUAUUCCUUAACGGCAAUUAGGAUUCCAUCAGGGUUGGCCGAGCGUGGGGGCGCGUAGGGCCGUGCCCUUGCCAGCGCGUGGGGCAUCAAAAAAAAUUUCUAAAAAUAUUGGGAUGUUCCUGAGGUUGAGUAGAUCACGGUGGUAUAUUCAUAUACCCAAUUUGAGCAAUAUAUGAGAAGUUAUUACUUAGUUUUGUGUAUGUGCUUUAAAUGACGAUUAUAUAGUUGUUUCGCAUAUAAGUGAGACCUAUCCAGAGGACGAGCAUAAUCAAUCAAGGCUCGAGGGCUACGACCCUUCGACCUACCAAUGAGUGGGCUUUUGGUUUUCAGUAUAUAUAUAUAUAUAUAUAUAUACACACUUGAUGUUUUUCCCAGAAAACGUAUUAAAAUGAAAUGUGUUUGAAAUGUCAUGUCAUACUUUCAUUGUACUUUAGUAUAUGCAUUAGUAUAAAUAUGCAUAAUGUUGCAUGAUGCUGCGGAGGCCCAGGUAAGCCACAGGUGAGUACAUUAUGAUGUUAGUGAUUGUGAAUGGAAUGAUGAUGUUGAGAUAUAUUUGAGUUCAUAAACCUGCACCCCAGUGUUAGUGCUCCCGCCAUGGUUAGGGCACAUUCCUUCACCACUAUAGGUGGUUCCGACUCGUAGGUGACCCGCGAUUUAUCGCACAGUCUUCACGUGAUCGUAGCACUAGAGCGUAUUUAUUUACACCCAGUCCUGUCGUACAGACCACUAGAGGUGGUUCCGACUCGUGUGCAGGUAUACUUGUUGAGAUACAUGAUUAAGUUAUAGAUUGAGCCGUACAGGUCACAUGAGGUGACUCCAACUAGAUAGAUGAGCUCUAGAUUUCGCCGUACAGGUCACGUGAGGUGACUCCGGCUAGAUUGGUUAUUUGCAUUAGUAUUCACACCUGGCUUACUUAUGUUAUAUUGUGAUUUUGGACAUGGCAUAUCCAUAGCAUGCACAUAAGUGGAUUUUGAUAUACUGAGCAUGGUUUUUGAGAUACGUAUGUAUUCUAUUUUCUGGGAAAUUAUACAGGUUUUACGGCGAGGGGUUAGAACUUUUGAGAAUGAAAUGAUUUUGAAAAGCUUUGUUUUUGCCCACUCACGCUUUCUGUUUUUCGUCCCUCCAGGUUCUAGGUAGGAAAUCCUCGUUGGUGGCAUUGCGAGGGUUUCAAGAUAGUUCUGACAGACUACCAAAUGUAGGAUCACCUUCGGGUGUUGUUUAAUUAGUACUUUAUCCUACUUGACUGCAAUUAGGCUACUUAUGCUCUCGUUGUGUAUUUCACACUUAAUAUCGCUCUAGUACUGCUAGUAACUUGGUUUAAUUAUUCCUAAUUCUCUAUAUCAUUAUUGCUUCCGCACGGUGCACAUGGUUACGUCACCCUCACGUGACGGCCAUCAUGCCUAGAUUUCGGUCGGGGUGUAUCACAUAUGAAGUUAAUAUUGUAGUAUCUUUUAGCCUCUAUAUUGGUAUCUGUGGCAAAAAAAUGGGUAUCUCCAUGAGAAAAUUUUGUAGAUCGAUGAAUAUUUUCAAUUUGAAUAUUUAUUAGAUACCAAAAAUUAUAAGUCUAUUCGCAAAAGUGUAAGUCAAUGCCAAGUACAAUAUUUGUUAAGAUAUAUUUAGGGAACUGUUAGUAGCACUCCAAAAAUCUUAUUCUACACUUUGCACAAGUGUAUUUUUCUUUCUAAUUAUAGAAAGUUUGGAGUGCCAAAUGAGAUUUUUGGAGUGCUAAUAACAAUUUUCUAUAUUUAUAUACAUUUUAUUUUAGUUUGGAAGUCGACUUCCUUUUUUUUUUUCCUUUAUCAAGUUGGGAGUAUCAAUGACUGUGACCAUGUGCAACUAGUUGUUGAUUCGUUUUGAAUAAUCAACAUUAUUUCUUACAAUGUCUUGGGCUUAUAAAUAACAGAAGGAAAACCGUCAUGCAUGAAACAUACACAUUUGUCCCUUCAUGCGACAUGGUUAUAAGCAAACAUCAUGCAUUUACUAAUACUAUUCCAAGUCAUGCAUGAAACCUAUACAUUGUCCCUUCAUGCCACUUGGCUAUAAGCAAACAUCAUGCACAAGUAGUUUACUAAUUAGUAUUACUAAUAUUAGCUUGUAUCAUGACCGUUUUCUUUUUGUUAUUCAUAUGCCCAAGACAUUGUAAGAAAUAAUGUUGAUUAUUCAAGACAAAUCAACAACUAGUUGCACAGGGUCAUAGUCAGUGAUACUCCCAACUUGAUAAAGAAAGAAAAAAAAAAGGAAGUCGACUUCCAAACUAAAAUAAAAUGUAUAUAAAUAUAGAAAAUUGUUAUUAGCACUCCAAAAAUCUCAUUUGGCACUCCAAACUUUCUAUAAUUAGAAAGGAAAAUGCACUUGUGCGGAGUGUAGAAUGAGAUUUUUGGAAUGCUAAUAACAGUUCCCUAAAUAUGUCUUAACAAAUAUUGUAUGUGGCAUUGACUUAGACUUUCGUGAAUUGACUUAUAAUUUCUGGUAUCUAAUAAAUAUCCAGAUUGAAAAUAUUCAUAGAUCUACAAAAUUUUCUCAUGGAGGUACCCAUUUUUUUGCCACAGAUACCAAUAUAAAGGCUAAAAGACAAUACGAUAUUAAAUUCAUAUGUGGUCGAGAUAUUUAUGAAUUUAAUCAUUAAAAUGCAUAAGCUCAAUUAUACAUUCAAGUUAGAUCAAUUCCCGAAGUUUUGGUCAACAAUAAAACUACUUACCUAUGAGUUCAUCUAUAAAACGUGCAAAGGCGAUAAACUUUUUAACCACAGUUCUAUGUACUGUGAAUUUUUGCCCGCAACUUUUGUGGCAUAUAGAGACUAAAAGAUAGUACGAUAUUAAAUCCAUAUAUGGUCGAAAUAUGUAUCAGUUCAAUCAUUAAAAUGCAUAAACACAAUUACACAUUCAGGUUAGAUCAAUUCCCGAAGUUUUGCUCCACAAUAAAAACUGCUUAGCUAUGAGUUCGCCUAUAAAACGUGCAAACGUGAUAUACUUUUUAGCCACAGUUCAAUGUAAUGUGAAUUGUUGUUCGCAACUUUUGUAUCUAAUAAAUAUCCACGGUUAAAAAUAUUCAUUGAUCUACCAAAAGUUAUCAUGGACAUACCCAUUUUUCUACCACAUAUAGGAAUAUAGAGGCUGGAAGAUUCUCAUUUAAUUGAAACAUACCAAACUCAUACCAAACUCAUCUAAUUAGUGCUCUAGAAAUUUAGAGAUGUCAAAUGAUGAAGAAAAGGAAGAGGAAGAGAUUUGGAUGACUACGGAGGAGUAGAUGGGGGUGCAGAAUGACAACCAUGGGAGAUGGAAGGAUUUUUUUUAAAGAGAGAGAGAAGGGGAUUUGUUCCAUGGAGAUGAUGAACUAGUUAGCGUUUUAUUUUUUAUUUUUAAGUAGAUUGAGUUGGGUGUAAAAAGAAGUUUGAUUGAGUUGAGUUUUGAUAAGUAAGGGCGGUUUCGAAAAUAAUGUUGGGUGUAAAUAGAUAAUCAUAGAUAAAUCAAAUACAAUGUGGAUAUAAAAAGUAAGCUGGGUGUUGAGAUACAAAAUAUGGGUUCAAAUAAAAUUUCCCUAACUAUAAUGGGGCGCCAGGUUUAAUUCACAUGUUUUAUUUCCCUAAAAGCAGAUCACAAAAAGCACUCUAAUUAAAAAUUUCACAUGAAUUGCCACUUAGUACUACGGUUUAGUAGUAUUUUUCUUCACUUGUAAGUGAGAGGUCUUAGGUUCGAUUCUCGCCAAAGGCAAAUUCGAACCAUAUUAUUGCUAGCCCAUUAUGAGGCUUAGCCCACUCCCCCACCCCCUUAGUGUAGAUAAUAUCGUUAGUUAAAAAAAAUCACAUGAAUUAAAAUUAAAUCCCCAUUGACACCAAUUUCAUGAAAUUGGAUUAAAAAGACCAACACGGAAGACAUUAAAACAAUGAAUUAAAAUUUAAAAUUAAGGAUCCCCCCACUCACAAGUUUUUUAGUUAGUACUCUUUAUCACUAAUGUGACAUUAAUUUUCACUCUACAAGUAUCGUAAUCAAAAUUAUUCACUCACUUAUCAUCUUUCAAUAAAAAAGUUCAAAUGAUUUGGAGACUGUUUAGUUUGUCAUGAAUCAAAGAUAUGAGAGUUCAUCAUGGUGAUGCUACUUAUUAGCGUAAUCGUUGAUUUGUUUGACUAGGAUAACUAAAUAGUCUCUAAAUCAAAUAAAUAUUUCCAGAGAUGAUCUUUUGAUGAUCAUAAAGAAAAUGAAUAGCUAUAAUAAUGACGUUGGUAAACUAAAAUGAUGUCACAUUUUGAAAUUAAUGAGGACUUUCUUCUUUACUAAGAAUGAGGGAAGUAAAUAUUAUCCUUUCUUUUGGUCGUAAGGGAAGUAUCCUUGAAACUAAGGAAUCAAAUUGGGAAAAUUAAGGACCAGAACUGAAAACAAACAAAAUAUAGUGAUAAAAAGUAGGAUCCAACAUCUUUUAUCGAAUAAUAAUAGUAGUUCACUAAUGACCAUAGGAACCACCAACGACCACUAUAUUAUUUUAUGACAUGAAUUUUCUAAAUUCACACGAUGGGGGAAGAAUAGAAUCAGUUGUUGCAAUUGUCUACAAUAUUAAAUAAGAACAACAAAAUAAAAUGAUGUAUUUGUUUAGCUUGGUUGGUUAGCCAGCCAGCAGGCUUAGUGCGCAUACAAAUUUCAAGUAUUUUUUAUUUAUCAACAAGUGUAAGGCUGAUAUCUCUAAUCUAAAACUCAAGAGUUAAAAAUUAUAAAGCUACAUUUAAUUUCACAUGCCGUGGUGUAAGUUAUAUUAUUUCCAAUGCAUACGGAGUUAUUCAAUGUUAAAAAUAUUCUCUUUUUCUCCCCGACCAUCUCUCUUAAAAUCAAAACCUAGAUCUACAAGUUUUAAGCUUAAUACUCGUUAUUUUGACACUUUUUCAAUAAAAUAUAUAUAAUUCACUUUUCCUAUACGUAUUUUUCACAUAUUAUCCAGGAAAUAAAAUACUAAAAUAAAAAAAUGACCGAAUUUGUAAAAGUUUAGCAAACUUGUCGAAUAAUACACAUAUGUAUGUUUCACGUACUAUACUCGUACCUUAUUUAUAUUUGUAUUUAAAACAAAAACGCCAAUAAUUAACUCAAUAUAUUGAAAGACCUAAUUCACAAACAUCGUUUUAUUUUCCACUAAUUUGUCUUGCUUUGUUAGUGCUUAAUAACGUACUUAUUCAUCAAAGCAAGCAAGGAAGUAAUCGCUUAAGUAACUUAGCAUAAAGAUUUGCUUUCGAAAAGCCCACAACCAGUAACAAAGUUGGAAUUUUCCCCCACCGCAAGUUGUGUAAACUCAUGUGUUGCAAAUUAACCUACUGCAUGGAAGAUUUACUCCAGCAAUUGACAAUUUUUCCCCCUCACGUACGUGAUUGAUUACUAUUUCUUAUAAUAAAUGCAAUGCAUGACCACAUAUUUUUGACAAUCUUCGUGCACAAUAAAAAAAAAAAUUCUUGACAUUUACUAUGGAGUGGUAGUAUUCCCAAAUGGCCAUUUGGUCAAGUAAAAUUCAAUCUUCAUUUGUUGGAAAAGGUUUAUUAGUUCAAAUCUCAUAGCCGAUAACAAUUCAAUAAAAACCAAUAGAAACCUGAAACUUAAGGCCAAAGGUUCAUUAAUAAGAUCAUAAAUGCAAAACUAAAUAUUUCAUAAAUUGGAGAUUUUUUUCGGUGUUACUCGAAACACUGCCGUAGUGUUACAAUUCGACUCAAACUAUAACAUGUGUAAUAAUAUACUUUAAAAGUGAGAUAUAUCAACCAUGCUGCCUUCACUUAUAACACGUGAAAAAGUACAAUGCACAGCAGUGUUUUACAUACAUAGGAAAGUUCUCCAAUGAGUCAAUAACAAUCACCCUAAUCUAUUACAACUUGAGCUAGAGUUGAUGUACACAAAUCUAACUAACUUUGAGUUUUUAGAAUUUAUUGUAAUGUUAAUCUUGAGCAUCUAAUUCAUUGAAGGCGGGACAAGAAAAUAAUUCAAAUUAAGUUAUGUCAUAUACAUUCUUAAUUAAGAGUACGAAGCCAAUGCAAAAGUUAAUCUAUAAUGUAAUGUCGUCCAGUUUCAAGCACACAGCUAUGGAAUCCUCAUUUGUCCCGACUUUGGUUCAAGAAGCCAAUAUACCUCUAAUUUAUAUUCAACUUAAUUCUCAAUGUGUAAUUUGAGUAAUUUCCUGGAUUAGGACGCGUGAUCCAACAAUAUCAAGGUUUCACUAAAAUUAAAAAAAAAAACGACUGCAAAUGAUUAGACUAUAUUAAUAUAUAACAUGUUGCAUUAUGCUACAUAUAUUAUUAAUUAUUCCACGCAGGCAACCGCAAAUAGAAGGCACCACUUGUAAAUUAGGAGAACAUAUAUAGCAUGAGUAUUGUGGAGCCAAAAAUAUUCACAAGGCGACACGUGGAUUUUUAGAUAAAAGAAGAUAAAAAUAUCCUUGAGGCAUACCGGGAUUCCUACGCACGAGCAGCGGGCAAUCAUCCGUUAACCAAGUCAAAAAUGCCCAAAGAAGGUAACAAAUAAAAGUUAUUUCAUCCAUAUACUCCACAAGGUAACCAUUCCAAAUAUUCCAUUUAAAUUAGAUUAAUUGGUGAGUUAAUGGAUUUAUUUCCUAAUUAAUCCAUUAAAUCACCAAUUAAAUGACCCAUUAUGCCAAUUAAUCCCCCAUUACAUAACCCAUUACCCAAAAAAUCCCAAAUGGCUGGCCACCCUAGUUGAUCUCAUCAUAUUCACCUAUUUUAUCGCAUUAGUUAGCUAGUUAAUUUGGCAAUAAUUUUAUUUGCUAAAUUAAUUAGUCAAUUAUUCCCAUAACUCCUAAAUUUAACCUAAAUCAAGAACCCUAUCCCUAUAAAUAGGCUCUCAUUCUCACCAAAAACCUAAUUCCAACACUUUGGCAAAAAUCCCAAAAUUCUCUAAACACUCUUUCUCUCUAAAUUCUAACUUUGGCAUCGGAGGUUCUUCAGCCAAAGCCCCCCCAUUCAUCAUGGGCGCGUGAGGCUCUUGGCCUUAACCUAAGGUGUUGAUUGUUUUGUAGGUGCAAAAUUGUCCAAGAUCAAGGAGGAAGAAAUUUGCAUCCACAGGUAUAUUGUUAUGAUGACGUUCUAAAAGGGUGAUUCUUAGCCAACAUAGUUUUCUGCUUUGUGAGGGUCGGGAAGAAAUGUCUAUUGUACGCAAUUUUACCCUUGCUUUGUAAAGAAAUUGUUUCCACGACUCAAACCCGUGACCUUUUGGUUACAAAUGAGCAACAUUUAUAUUGCACUAAAGCUCACCUCAUUCAAUAAAAUAAAAUUAUGUAGUUUUAACUCACAUAUCCUUUUUUUCAUAAGGAAAACUAAUGAAAAGAACUUGAAAACUUUGAAUUUUAACGAUAAGGACAAAAUAAAUGAUAAAGUGAAUAGUAUCAUGAUUGAUUUUUUAGUGUAAAAAUGUGAUUUUUCGUUAAAAUGAACCGUAUCGGGAGCUUUUCGUUAAAGUUCCCUUUUUCAUAAGCACAAGAUACCGUGAAAGUGUAUUCGUGGUAGUCGUUCUCAUGAAUUAGCCUUCUUUUAUUGGCAGCACCCUUUUUUGAUUAUUCCCUCUCUCAACUUUCGUCUCUCUUGUAGUUGAAACAUAGAUAUACAUAUGAAGAGAAACAUCUUCUCAAUCAACGCAGACCAAGUUCAUUUGCCCCCCCCCCCUCUCUCUCUCUCUCUCUCUCUCUCUCUCUAAACUGUUAUUUGCAUAAGGAAAAAUAUGGUAUACUAUCAGAGAUACAAGCAGAGGAAAAAAAGGUGAACAUCUUACAGAAGAAGAUGAAGAGUGUCAGAGCAUUAUUAUGGGGUCUUCAAACUCUGGUUACUACAAAAGAACAAGGCCCAAGCUUCUCUCUUUCGUCUUUCUCUCUCUCCUCUCUUGCAGCUUCAUAAUUAGCACCUCAUCUUUUCUACCCUAAUGCCACUUUCUCUCUAUUACGUAAGCUUUUAUCUCUAGUUUCUCAUUUUCAUUUUUUCAUUUUUCUUUCAGUUUCCUUUAAUUGUAUGCUGAGAUUAUAUAAUAACCCUAUGUAAACCCUAGCUUGUACCCAGAUUAUAUAGAACCCCAUGCAUAAACCCUAGCUUAUAUAGUACCCAGUUGGGUCUCUUCACCUAUAUGCACUUGAUUUUAGUUGGAUGUUCUAACUCUUUCAUGGUAUGAGAACCAAGCUAACCACGUAUCAAACCAUCAGUUUAUUAGAAUACAUGAAGUGUCCUUAUCCCCUCUCCCCGUCUUCAAGUACCCUUUUUCGAUACAUGGUAUAGUCAUUGAAAAUCAAAUGAUUUUCGGAUUAUUCAACUCCGUUUGUGUUGUCCACGUUAUUGGCUUGAAGAUCACCACACGUUAGGGAACGUGUUAAGAAUGAAUCUCACAUUAAUGAGAGAAUGUGAGCUUAUAAGUAAGUUGGGUUACUCCUCAUAUUGUCAAUUGAUUUUGUGAUGAAACCUCAAAUUGCUUCAACCCUUCGUCUUUCAAAACAUUCACAAUAUUUUUGAGUUAUCUCACAUAGUGAAAAGUAAGCCAUGCACAAUAAUAUAGAUAGACUCUAUAUCUAUUGCUGUUUGAUUUUAAGUUGAAUGCUCUAAUUUUUUUUUUCCACUAUAUUCACGAAUAAAUAUGUACCCUUUGGUUUUGUAGGCCUUGCUGCUGACGAUAUGGUUGCAUAUGCUCCCUCGAGUUCUUCAAUCUCUAACGGUAGAAUUCUCUGCUUCUCAGUGGCUUCUAUUUGGAAUCGAUUAAUUGUUUGUGUUUUAGUUGUUAAUAAAUACCUUGCAAAGUUUACCAGACAGUAUUACUAUCGAUUAAUUGGUUUGAAAAAAAUCGUUUGCAUCAGAAGGCUGGUUAUAAGGCUUAGAAGGUAAGAAAAUUAGAAAAUUGUUAGCAUAAACAAGUCUUGAACUGAUCAUGACUUGCGAGUAACUUUAAACUACACUCCACCUAUGAAGCAUAUACUCUAUAUAGUACUAGCAGACAACAAAUAAAUAGCUGAAAUUUCAGGAUGGGCACUAGCCUAUUCUGGCCUUCAUGUAGCUCCUCCCCCGGUUGCGAUGAUACUCGAAUUGAUACUGCAAAAACAAUAAAAUACGGAACUAUUAUUGUUAUUUAAAAAAUAUUAUUCUACAUUAAUUUUUUCUUGUAUAUUUUUUCCUUAUGUUUUCAUAGAUGACGAGUGCAAGACAAUAUUUUUUUACUGAUAACAACUCCUAGUAAAACAACGUAAAAAUAUAACAUAAAAACAAUAUUGAUAAUAUUCCUGAAAUUCAAAAUUAGUUUUUAAUCUGUUCUAGUCUUUUCAACAAGCAAGCUGGGUCUGCUAUCUCUCUUUCCUUAUGGAACUCAUACGGGGUGAGUGGUCAAUUCGAACCCAGACCCUACGUUCUAAUUAUUCUAAUUAAUUUAGUUAAUAUAUAGUUAAUUCAGCUCCAGUUGAACCGCCACAAUUUUAUAUCGUCCAUGGAUCAUCAGGUUGAAGUCAAAUGAAUGGAGCCUGCAAGUUAAGCAUGUAAGAUGUAAUCUGAAAAUCAACAAGUUACUAGGAUCACAAAUAUAACAAAUAUAACUACAAUAAACCAAUCAAACAAUUAAAGGGAAAUAAACUUAUCUUCCAAAGCGGAGGAAGAAGAAGCUAUGACUGCUAGGGUUUCAAGGAGGAACUAGGUUCAAGAAUACAGCAGGACACGUAAAGCAGCAAGCCGUGGCACUGCGUGUGCAAUCCGACUUCUCCAUCUUCUUCAACUGUCACAUGGAACCAUACCAAGACACCCCUCUACACACAACCUUCUCCUCUCUGCAAAACUCAAUGCUCUCCAAGUUAUAGGUAAUUGGAACGAUAAGAGCGCACAACCUUCUCCUCUCUGCAAAACUCAAUGCUCUCCAAGUUAUAGGUAAUUGGAACGAUAAGAGCGCCCUUUUGUGAGAGCAGGGGCUUGUGGUUUUUAUACUACAAAAUCUGGAUUACCCUAUAAUAAUCCUACAAGGAAUACAAGACCAAAUCCUUGUACAAGUAUGAGUUCUAUUCUCAAGCCAACAGUAGAGUUUCAAUCCAAACCAAAGUUGAAUUAACUCUUAUAAACACAUUAAGACCUCUUUAUACCAAUCUGAAAUAACAAUGAUUAUUACUAAACUGUGAGAAUCACACUCAUACUCUAACAAAGCAUGCUUGCUUGUUGAACCCCGCAACCACUUAAAAAUUUGUGAUAAAUAUGAUUUAUGUAUUCCUAAUUUUCUAAGUUUUGAUAGACCUAAAGCCAAAUCUAAUUUUUACGUCACUUAUUAUAACUGUAGUCUAAUGGUAUAUUUUUCUACUUGUUAUAAGUAGAAAGAUUUUAGGUUCGAUCCUAAACUAACACUAAAUUAUUAUAGAUGACCCAGUUGUAUGGCCUCACCCAAAUAUCCAAAGUUUUAGUGUAAAUAAUAUCAAUGUUUUAAAAGUUAAUUGAGUACACUUAUUUUCUGUAUGUGACACUUUUACAUUUUCUCUAUCUGCAAUUACUUUCACUAACUAUAAAUGUUGUGGGUGCAGGAACUAUAUUUUGUGACAGGAGCAGUUUUCGAUCAGAUGUUUGUAUCCUGAAAGGGGAUGUAAGAACACACUCCGGUUCCUCUUCCAUCUUUGUCUACAGAUCCAGAGAUAAAAGUAAUUUCACAAAUUAUUUAUCGAGUAUCGUCGAGGAAAACGAAGAGGAAAAUGAGGAACAGCUUCACCGCGAAAAGAUCAAACCGUAUACCCGGAAAUGGGAACCAAGUAUCAUGGACACCGUCACAGAAUAAGACCUCAUUGCAAAGACAGAUGGCACUCCAGGAAAGCAACAUGAGUGUGAUGUCCAACGUGAGGUUCCGGCCGUAUUCUUCUCGACGGCGGGCUAUACCGGUAAUGUUUAUCAUGAAUUCAACGAUGGUAUUAUGCCGCUGUACAGUACUUCUCAGCAUUUGAGGAAACAGGUUGUGUUUGUCAUCGUUAAUUUUCACAAUUGGUGGCUUAUGAAAUAUGGAGACAUUCUUUCACAACUAUCAGACUAUCCAGUAAUUGAUUUCAGUGCAGACAAGAGAACUCAUUGCUUUCCCGAAGCUACUGUCGGUCUGCAAAUUCACGAUGAGCUCACUGUGGAUUCUUCAAAUAUGGAAGGAAAUAAGAGCAUAUUCGACUUUCGAAAUCUUCUAGACGGGGCUUACAGUCCUCGAGUUACAAGUCUGAUUCACGAACGAGAAGCAAAAGAGAAACUCUCCGUUUCUAUGUCUCCCGCAUCGAAAAGAUCCUUAAAAAUCAAGAGAAAAGUACAUGAAGCACAUCAACUCAAGAGGCCUAGACUAGUGAUCAUAUCUAGAAAUGGAUCAAGAGCGAUAACCAAUGAGCAUUUGCUGGUGAAAAUGGCUGAAAAAUGGGGUUUGAAGUUGAAGUUCUGAGACCUAAUUCGAGGACCGAGUUGGCAAAGAUUUAUUGCGUUCUUAAUUCGAGUGAUGUCGUGAUCGGGGUUCACGGUGCUGCCAUUAGACCUGGCAUUUUGGACCCGACCCGACCCGACCCGUUAAUAUUAGUAUUUGGAUGGAUGCUUAACAGGUCGGGUCGCUAACGGGUGAACCCGUUAACAACCAGUUAAAUAACGGGUCACUUUGGGUCAACCCGGUAGCACCCGUUAGUUGAGGAUGCUUUAGUAAUUUUAGUAAAGUCUUAACAACAACAAAUAAACUUUAUGCAAAAAAAAAUAAUAAUAUUUGUUAACGGGUUGUUAACGGGUGUUAACGGGUGACCCGUUAGCUUAACGGGUCGAGUUCGGUUGACCCGUUAACUUAAUGGGUCGGGUUGAACCCAACUCAAACCCAAUAAACUCUACCCGUUUACAGGUCUAGCUGCCAUGACACAUUUGUAGAAACUCUAUGUUCUUGUAAGAGAGAGAGAGAAGAGAAGAGAGAGAGAGAGGUUUCUUAAGAAUUAAGAAAUCUAUGACUUUUCAUUAAUUGAACAAAUGAAUAAUACAAUUAAAUAUAUAUAGUCCUUGUGACUAUCUACAUUUGGCUAUCUAAACUAACCAAAUAAACCAACUAAUUACAUGAGUAACAAACUUAUAACAAACAACUUUAGCUAUGAUAUAGCAUCUUCAUCUUUACACCCCCUCAAGCUAAACUUGGAAGAAUCAAUAAGUCCAAGUGAGAGCUUGGAUUGCAGAAACUGAAACUUGUUUUUAGACAAGGCUUUGGUAUGAAUAUUUGCAAGUUGAUCCUGACUGCACACAUACUUAACUUCAACCAGAUUUGCAAGUACUAACUCACGAAUAUAAUGAUAAUCAAUCUCUACAUGCUUAGUGUGAGCAUGAAAUACAGGAUUAGAUGCAAGAGAUAUAGCAGAGAUAUUAUCACACCAGAGAGUAGGUUUGUGAGAUAGAGGAAAACCAAAGUCUUUGAGCACCUUGCAGAUCCAAGUAACCUCUGCAGCAGUGUGAGCUAAGGAUCUGUAUUCAGCUUCAGUAGAGGAACGUGCGACUGUUGAUUGUUUCUUGGCACUCCAGCUAACUAAGUUGGUGCCCAGGAAAACACAUGAACCACUAGUGGAUCGUCAGUCAUAAGAGCAACCAGCCCAAUCGGCAUCAGAGUAGGCUGACAGAUGCAGGGAGUUUUCUUAAACAAUAAACCAUGAGUGAUAGUCACUUUGAGAAACCUCAAUAUACGUUUGGCUACUUGCAUGUGAAGAACAGUAGGUGCAUGCAUAAAUUGACAGAUUUGGUUUACUGCAAAAGAAAUACCAGGUCUUAUCCAAGUUAAGUAUUGGAGAGCACCAACAAUCGAUCUGUAUUCAGUAGGAUUGGCAAGUAACUCCCCACUAUGAUCUAAUUUGGUAGAACUAAGAGGAGUGGAACAUGGUUUGCACCAGCCAUAUUUGUUUUCUGUAACAAAUCAAUCAAAUACUUGCUUUGAUGAAGAAGCGUAGCAUCUUCGGUGCGAUGAACUUCCAGACCAAGGAAGUAAUGCAAGGAGCCUAGAUCUUUGACAGGAAAUAAAGUGCUCAACUGUGCUAUGAACUGAUUGCAAAUAGUAGCAUCAGGACCACUAACUAGAAUAUCAUCAACGUAGACAAGCACAAUAACCAGAGUUGGAGCAUGAAGAACAAAUAAAGAAGCAUCAGAAGAUGAUUGACUAAAUCCAAGAGAUUAAAGAGCUUGAAAUAAUUUGUCAAACCAAGCUCUAGGAGCUUGUUUAAGUCCAUAGAGAGAUUUUUUGAGCUUACACACAUGAGUAGGUUUGCUGGGAUCUUGAAAACCAGAAGGUUGAACCAUAAACACAUCCUCUUUUAAGUCACCAUGCAGAAAGGCAUUGCUAAUGUCCAGUUGAUGGAGAAACCAAUUAAAUUGGAUAGCAAAAGAUAACAAAAGUCUGAUAGUAACUGGCUUUGCAACCGGACUAAAUGUUUCUGUAUAGUCAAGACCUUCCUGUUGGUGAAAUCCCUUAGCAACAAGUCUUGCUUUAUAUCUCUCAAUGGAUCCAUCAGGAUGCUUUUUAAUUCUAAAGACCCACUUGCAGCCAACUACAUUUUAAGAUGGUGAAGAAGGAACAAGUGUCCAAGUGUCAGUAGAUAAACGAGCAUUGAAUUCAUUUUGCAUUGCCAUUCUCCAAUUUUCAGACUUAGAAGCUUGAAGAUAAGUAUUUGGAAUGUAAUCAGUGGAGGAAGGGAGAGGAUGUUUGGUAGUAGUUAAUGCUUUGGGUUUAUGAAUCCAUUUUUGGAUCAAGUAACCAUGGAAUGAACAUUAGAAACAGAAGGAUGCACAGGUUGAUGGGGAGGGAUAGGUUAUUGUGGAGAGACAGGUUGAUGUGUAGGGACAGGUUGUUGUGUAGGUACAGGGUGAUGGGUAGACAUGAUAGGAGAAGAAGGCAUAGGUGGAAGAGAUAUAGAUGGUUGUGAAGAAGAUGAGAGGGAUGCUGAGAGAGGCACAGGUGUAGUGGGGUUAGAGAUAGGCAUUGAAAAAUGAAGAUUAAUAGAUGAAGGAGCACACUGAUCAAUAGAGGAUUGAACUGGAGUAACAUCCUUAAAAGGAAAAGUAACCUCAUCAAAUAUAACAUGCCUAGAAACAUAAAUCCGAUUGGUUUCCAAAUCCAAACACCUAUAACCUUUAUGUUGUAAACUGUAACCCAAGAAGACAUAUCUCUUACUUUUCCCAUCAAGCUUAGAAGAAAUGUAGGGCUUUAACCAUGGAUAACAACUACACCCAAAAACCUUAAGUUUGGAAUAAUCUGGAUACUUGUUAAACACCAACUCCCAUGGUGAUUUAGGAUUUCCUGAUAUAGGCAGCCUAUUUAUAAGAUAAAGGGCAGUAGUGAAAGCUUCAACCCAAUAGGAAUGAGGAACACUAGAUUCAACCAAUAAAGUCCAAGUUGUCUCAACAAGAUGCCUAUGUUUCCUCUCCACACAACCAUUUUGUUCUGGUGUGUGGGGACAACUAAGUUAUUGAACAAUACCAUGAGCAUGUAGAAAAGAUUUAAAUUGUAAACUGGUAAAUUCACCCCCAGAAUCUGAACGAAGAAUCUUGAUUUUAUUACCAACAGUAUUCUCAACAUAAGCUUUGAAGGUUACAAAAGUAGAAUACACCUCUGAUUUAGUCUUUAAAGGAAAACACCAAUUGUAUUUGCUAAAUUCAUCAACUAGGAGAAAAUAAUAUCGAAAACCACUCACUGAAGUUACAGGAGCUGGUCCCCAUAGAUCACAAUGUAAGAGCUCAAGAGGCUGAAAGGUGGUUGUAGUUGAUGAACUAAAGGGUAGUUUAUGAUUUUUAGCAAUAGCACACUUGGAGCAAAAGAAGUCAACAGAGGUUGUACCUUUAAUAGCAAGCUUAUUACUAGAGAUUAUUUUGCGAAAGAUAGAUGAGGAAGGGUGUCCUAGCCGACUGUGCCAUAGUUUGACUGAACCUUGAGCACUGACAAGAGCAUAAGUGCAUCCAGAAGAUUGAGCAGUGGAAGAACAGUUUUGCAUAGGGUAAAAGCCAUCUUUAACUGGACCCUACAAAAACGUCUUCCCCGUAGUACGAUCCUUUACAACAGAGCCAUCAGAAUCAAGUGUUAAGGCACAAUAGUUAUCUUUGAGAAAUUGGUAUGCAGAUAACAGAUUAUGCUUUAUUUGAGGGACAUGAAGCACAUUACGCAAAUGAAAUUGAGCAUUAGGAGAAUGCAAAGAAGAAGAGCCAAUAUGAUGUAUAGAGAGACUUUUACCAUCACCGACAUAAACCUUGUCCUCGCCAGUAUACGGUGUUGGUGAAGAGAUGUUGGCAAUAUCAUUAGUGAUGUGAGAUGUGGCGCCAGAAUCUAGUAGCCAAGAUGGAGAAGGUUUGGAGGAGUAGUGUGCACACAUGGCUGCAAGUUUUGCAGGAGGAAUCUUCCCAGAGAUGUCAGGAUUCAUGCGAUCGAAGCAAUCAAUAGCUUCAUGACUAGUAGAUCCACAAAUUUGACAAGAAACAUGAGUACUGCCGAAUGAAGAGUUGCGAACACCUUGGUGAUGACCACGAUUGGAAGAUUGACCUCUAUAAUUGCCUCUGUGUCCACGAUUGUUGUUGUACCGACCAUGAUUAUGAGAGUGAUUACCUCUAUAGAUGUUCCUUCCACGAUAAGAGUUGAAUCGAAAGGAUUGGUGAGGUUGAGCAACAUAUGCUUAAGGCGGUAGAGUUGGAAGAAGAGGCGGUUGAGACUGAACAGAGAACGCCUGAAAGGACUCAGUAGUGGAGGAAUAGAGCUUCUUGCGACGAGACAUUGAAAGCUCUUUGGUGAGAAGAAGACCAUGUAACUCAUCCAGAGACGUGGAAGAGAGACGUAACAUCACAGAAUCAAUGAAGGAUUCGAAUUCAUCAGGUAAGCCAGCAAGAGUAGCCGCAAUAAGAUCGCGAUCAGAAAUAAGUGCACCAGCAGCAGAAAGAGAAUCAGAGAUUUCUUUGAGUUGUUGAAGAUAAUCCGUCAUAGAUUGAGUACCUUUUUGAAUUACUUGAAGGCGAGAUCAUAGUUGAUGGAUGUGAGCAUCGGAGACGCCACCAAACCGUUGUUCAAGCUUGAUCCAAAGAUCGCGAGCAGAAGAGACACCAACAGUAAAAGGAAUAACAUCUUCCGAAAGUGUAGAAUUCAACCAAAUCAACAGAUUCUAAUCCUUUUCAUACUAGAUCUCAAAAGCUGGAUUAAUCGAUCGAUCGAGAAGGAAUGACGGUGGACACGGCUCAGUACCUUCAAUAAUUCCAAGAAGUUUGUAGCGCCUGAGAAUCGAUGCAAACAAAGCACGCCAUGGAAGAUAGUUAGAUCUCUUGAGCUUAAUUGGCACCAUGCUUCCAAUAUUCUGAAUUGUGAUAGAAGCAUACGAAUUGGACACGUUAGGGUUUGUAGAAGAAUUGGGGGCAGAAUGCUGGAGAGAUUCAUGAGAUGCAAAAUCGGACGGAGAUGCCAUGGUAAUCAAAAACAAGAAUUACAAGAAAAGAUCAGCGAGAAUCAGAGAAACAAAGCGGAAGAAAGGAUCGAAUUGGCCUUGAGGCAGAAGGUGAAAGAUACCAUAUAAAAACUAUGUGUUCUUGUAAGAGAGAGAGAGAGAGAAGAGAAGAGAAGAGAGAAAGAGAGAGAGGUUUCUUAAGAAUUAAGAAAUCUGUGACUUUUCAUUAAUUGAACAAAUGAAUAAUACAAUUACAUAUAUAUAGUCCUUGUGACUAUUUACAUUUGGCUAUCUAAACUAACCAAAUAAACCAAACUAAUUACAUGAGUAACAAACAUAUAACAAACAACUUUAGCUAUGAUAUAGCAUCUUCAUCUUUAACAUUUUCUGUUCAUGAGACCUGGCUCUGUGUUGAUCCAAGUUAUUCCUCUUGGAACUAGUUGGGCAGCAGAGGAAUACUAUGGGAAACCUGCAAGAAAGCUUGGGUUAAACUACGUCGGCUACAAAAUUCUUACCACAGAAAACUCGUUACACAACAAGUAUGGUAAAGAUGAUCAUGUUCUUAAAAAUCCAGCUAGUGUAACAAAAAAAAGAUGGGAAUACACAAAGGAGAUUUACCUUGAAGGUCAAACUGUGAGACUACACCUCACAAGAUUUAAGAAGCAGCUGCUUCGUGCUUAUAACUGCGCCAUUGGAAGAACGACUCGGCAUUUCGAACAACAAUAAACUAGUCAUUCUGGAAGUUGUAGAUUCAUACAUGCUUGAUAAAAAUUUGUGAACAUGUAUAUAACGUCGAGAUUUAGCUUAGUAGUAUGUACACCUCAUCAAUUAGGCUAGCUUACUUAUUAAGUUUUGGCAGCUACUAUAAAUAUAAUUCAUCAAUUCUCAAUAUAAUGAAAAAGUCAACUUCUUCUUCAAGCUGUUUUUUCUCUAUGUUCCAUAUUUUCUGAGUUCUCCAUUUUCACGAGUUCUACAUUUUCCUGAUUUCUGUAAUCUUCGAUUUCCAUGAUUCUUCCAUAGCUAUCAUGGUAUCAGAGCUUAGGUUCGGUGAAUCUAAGAGAAGGAUCCUGGAUUGGCUCAUCAAGCGAUGGAAGUAGUCGUUGCGUAGAGAUUUGUAGCUGUUUUUGGUUCGCGAUUUUUCGUCGGAGAUCUAUCUUCGUUGAAUCAGGUUCUGAAUUUCGUUCUUCGGUGUAUCUGUGUGAUCAAUUCUGCGUGAAAUUUCUGGAGUUCUUAGUUUGUUUUCUGGAUAUGUUGAUUGUAGAAGAUUGCGAUGAUGAACUUUUAGGGCAUGAAGCCUGAAAUUUUUUUUUAGGGCACGAAGCUCGUUGUUAUGUUCAAUGCGUGUGAAGAUUAAUGUCUGUGUGGUGAAUUCCGAAGAAAUUUGUAUGCAUAUUCUAGAUUGUUGAUAUAUAAGCUUCUGUGGAGUAUUUUUCUGGUCAUUUUGGCACGAAGCCAGCUGAAAUUGUUUCUUUGAGUACAAAACUCUUUGAGGAAUUGAAUUCAUUUGUUCAUUUGUGAUUCGGUCAGUUGGUGAUUUGACAAAUCUUGGUGCAUAAUCUUGGUGUAUUGAUAUAAUCUUGGUGUAUUGGUGAUCUGGUGAUGAAUGCUAUAAAGAUGGACAGUCUACUGGGCAUGUUAACUAUCCGAUUACAAGAUGACAAUUUUGUGAAGUGGUCCUUUCAAUUUACAGAAGAAUCUAACCACAUUGACUUUUUCUGGAUCUACAAUGUAUUGUCAGGGUGAAUCUUCUAAUACUACUCACAAUUCUCCAGAGUCUUCUCAAUAUUUCAAUGGUGGUUUUGGCUUUGUUAGCGGCAGCAACACUAACUCUCAGGCUCGUGGAUCAAGACCAACUGGAGGAUUUGUGUCACAAGCCAAUUUGCCUCAGUUUCAAGGGAAUGGAACUUUUCAGCAUCAAAGGAAUUAUCAUAACAAUGGUGCUAACAAUGGCAGGUUCAAUAACAGACCAAGGUUUAAUAAUGGAUCUUCUGGAAGAUUUUCUGAGAAUUCUAAUUACUUCUCUGGUAGCUCCAGUAAUAAUGGAGGAUCUAAUUUUGGGGCUAAGGGAGGAUCUACUUGGCAGAAUUGGAAUGGUAAUAAUGGAUCAAAGAGCGCUUUGAUUCCUGAAUGCCAAAUUUGCAACAAAAGAGGCCACACUGCCCCAAAUUGUUACUCUUGAUAUGAUACAAGUUCCAGCACUGUUUCUCAAGUUCCCGAGUGUCAAAUAUGUGGGAAGAAAAGGCACACUGCUCUUAAUUGCUAUCACAGGGGGAAUUAUGCAUAUCAAGGAACACCACCACCUCCUUCUAUCUCUGCUCUUACGACACAAGCUCAAUCAAAUUUUGAUGGUUCUUCACAACAAAAUUAGGUGCUAGACAUAUGGGCUACACAUCAUAUGACCGCUGAUUUGGACAAUUUGACUUUGGUGGCUCCUUUUGAAAGAAAUGAGAGGAUUACAGUGGGCAAUGGCGAAGGGCUUCCUAAUGUCAACACUGGUUUGGGUUCCAUCUUCACUCCUUUUAAAGCUUUAACUUUACACAUGGUUCUACAUGUUCCAAAAUUGGCUGCUAGUCUAUUGUCUGUUUAUAGACUCUGUAAAGAUAACAACUAUUAUGUUAUUUUUUAUGAGUUUGGUUUUUGGGUGCAGGACAAGGCAACAAAGAAAGUUCUCUUGAGAGGAAUGAGUAGUUGUAGUGGCUUGUAUUACAUUCCUCAACAACAAUUCUUCAAGUAUUUUCAGCUCCUAGAUACUACACCACAGGCUGUCUUGGGUCAACUUGUGAAGUCUUCUAUAUGGCAUCAUAGACUUGGUCAUCCAACAAAUGAAGUGCAGUAAAAAAUGCUUAAGGAAUCUUCUAUUUCUGUGUCUAUAGACAAUAAUCCUCAGAUGUGUUCAGUUUGUAUAAAGGGUAAAAUGUCUAGACAACCAUUUCCUUUAAGUACUAAUAAGUCUCGUAUUCCAUUUGAAAAAGUGCAUACCAAUGUAUGGGGACCUUCACCCACUAUAUCCGUUGAAGGUUACAGAUAUUAUGUCAUUUUUUUAGAUGAAUGCACAAGGUUUACUUGGCUUUUCCCUCUUGUGAAUAAGUCUGAUGUGUAUGCAGUAUUUGUUAAAUUUCAUGCUCUCGUUGUGAAUCAUUUUAAGACUACAAUAAAGUUUUUACAAUCAGAUGGAGGAUGAGAGUUUAUGAGUGGAUUGUUUAAGAAAUUUUUGGAGUUACAUGGCAUUUUACAUCUUGUUUCAUGUCCAUAUACACCCCGGAAAAAUGGGUUAACAGAGAGGAAGAAUAGACAUAUUAUUGAAACUGCUAUAACUUUAUUUGGUGCUGCAUUCUUACCUCAAUCAGUCUCCAUCUUUUGUCAAGUUGUUUGGACAGUCUCCAUCUUUAACAACUCUCAAGGUCUUUGGUACAGCCGUAUACCCUUAUUUAAGACCUUAUAGUGACAAUAAGUUGCAGGCAAGGAGUGAUGAAUGUGUCUUUCUGGGAUAUUCAUUGAUUGGGCUAUAAAGGAGUAUUGUGUUAUAACAGGAAUACAAAGAGGUUGUUGAUGUCUAGACAUGUAAUCCAUGAUGAAAGUGUAUUCCCUUUUCAAUCAGUUUGCCUUCCAAACAUGAGUUCUUCUCUUAUUCAUGCAUCUUCCCAGAAAUUAUCAUCUAUGAUUGUACUUGUUGUGUUACCAAGAUCUUCAAAUGUGUCUGAGGAACAGUUUCAAGAUACUAAUUAGAGUAGUCAGACUAUGCAAGCAAUAAGUCCCUCUGAUAGCUCGAGUCAAGAAUCAACACAAGCCACUACUCAAGUCACUACUCUAGAUCCUACUUCAUCUCACUUGUUGCCUGUCCAUGCUAGUUCCCAAACUAAGGUACCACACUCUUUUACUGAAUCAUUACCACUGCAUGAUAUAUAUGCUGAGCAGUCUAUUGACGUUGAAACAUCUAAUCCCUUAGAGGUUGAUCAUGACAUAUUACCUCCUGUUAUUCCUAGUACUUCUAUACAUGGUAUGAUUACUAGGUUAAAGAGUGGUGCAAUACAAAGAAAAGAUUAUGCAGCCUAUCAUGUUCCUGUGACAAAUGAAGACUUGUGUCCUAAAUCACAUAAUGAUGAUAUAAUGUUCAGUGGCUUUACUGUUGUUCUAGAUAUACAUGAUUCUUCUGAGCUUGUUGAUUAUAAACAAGCAGUAAUGUCUGAAUGUUGGAGAAAUGCAAUGACUGAAGAAUUUAAUGCUCUUCAAAAACAAGGGACUUCGGAGUUAGUACCAUAUCCGGAAGACAGAAAUGUAGUAGGCAGUAAGUGAGUUUAUAAGAUAAAGAAAGAUCAAGAAGGGAAGGUGUCUAGAUAUAAAGCUAGACUGGUUGCACAGGGGUAUAGUCAAGAACAAGGGUUGGAUUAUGAAGAAACUUUUAGUCCAGUUGUUAGGCAUACCACAGUAAGACUUGUUUUAUCACUUGCAGUAACUUACAAAUGGGAAUUGAGACAAUUAGAUGUUAAAAAUGCAUUUUUGCAUGGAGAAUUGCAAGAAUAGGUUUUUAUGAAACAACCUCAAGGUUUUCAAGAUCCCAGAUAUCCCAAUCAUGUUUGAAAACUUCUUAAGUCUUUGUAUGGUCUGAAACAGGUUCCAAGAGCCUGGAAUGCAAAAUUCACAAGUUAUCUUCCAGCCUUACAAUUUCAAUCUUCUCAUUCAGAUCCAAGUUUAUUUGUCAAAGUCAAUGGGAGUGAUGUGGUGAUUCUUCUACUAUAUGUAGAUGACAUUAUACUUACUGGUUCAUGUUCCCAGCUAGUGCAGCAUGUGAUUGAUGAUUGGUCCUCUGUGUUUGAUAUGAAAGAUAUGGGGACACUCACUUAUUUCCUUGGGCUGCAAGUUAGUUACAAAGACAAUGGAGAUAUUUUUAUUAAUCAGUCAAAGUAUGUGACUGAUCUUCUCAAUAAGGCAGGAAUGUUGUCUUGUAGAUCGUGUUCUACUCGUAGUAAACCUCAUAUACAGUUGUUGAAUGAUGAAAGAGUACCAUUGGCAGAUCCUACAAUGUACAGAAGUUUGGUUGGAGCUUUGCAAUAUCUAACCUUUACUAGGCCAGACAUUGCAUAUGUUGUCAACUAUGCAUGUCAGUUCAUGAACACACCCACUGAGUUUCAUUUUUGUUUGGUAAAACGAAUAUUGAGAUAUUUGAAAGGUACAAUACAGUGUGGAAUCACAUACUCUGCUACUAAGAAAUUAGAAUUGUUUGCAUUUAGUGAUGCUGACUGGGCAGCUGAUAUAAACACUCGAAGGUCCACCACUGGCUAUGUUGUCUUUUUGGGGUCGAAUCCAGUUUCAUGGCAAUCAAAAAAGCAAGGAAGUGUGUCUAGAAGUUCAACCAAGGCUGAGUAUAAAGCAUUGGCUAAUGUUGUAGCUAAUGUUGCUUGGAUAAGAUUGGUUCUUAAAGAUCUUCACUUAUUUCUUUCUUCACCACAUGUCUUGCAUUGUGAUAAUCUGUCCACUCUAGCUUUGUGUUCUAAUCCAGUCUUUCAUACUCGGAUUAAACACUUAGACACAGAUUUUCAUUUUCUUCGUGAAAGAGCGCAGAAAAGAGAUUUGGAGGUUCAAUAUAUUUCCACAGAAGCUCAGGUUGCAUAUGUUCUAACUAAAGGGUUACACAACCCUCUAUUUGUUCAUCAUUGUUCCAAUCUCAGACUGGGAUAUCCCAGCUGAGAUUGAGGGGAAGUAAUAACAGAAUGUAAACCUCUGCAAUUAAGUUAGCUUAGUAUGUACACCUCAGCAAUUAGGCUAGCUUACUUAUUAAGUUUUGACAGCUACUAUAAAUAUGUGUAUAACUGUUUGUAAUUCAUCAAUUCUCAAUAAAAUGAAAAAGUCAACUUCUUCAAGCUGUUUUUUCUCUUUGUUCCAUAUUUUUUGAGUUCUCCAUUUUCACGAGUUCUACAUUUUCCUGAUUUCUGUAAUCUUCGAUUUCCAUGAUUUUUCCAUAGUUAUCGUACAGCUACUAGUGGUUGUUUCUUUUGUCAUAAAAAUUUCUCCGAUGCUGGUUGUUUCUUUGGAUUAACGCCCUCAGUAUAUGAUCGACUAAAAUAUUUAUGUUCGUCCAUAUCCCCUGAACGAUCCACUCUCUAUCAGAUGACGACCUCCCAGGUCCUGAUGACCUAAAUAUCCACUGGAUUUUUAGGAUUAAAUUUAUUUUGAUCCACCUCCACUGUCACUGACGUCUUCAUAUCUUUCAGUCCUGCUUCGCCACACUGAUCGUAAACUGCUCUUUCCUGAGAUCACACAAGAACUGAAUUCGGGAAUACGUUUCAUUCUUUUAUUUUUCACGCAGCACACACGUUAAUGUACAAAAUCAGUGAAACUUUGGAACAACGUAAAAUAUGUUAAGUGCUUGGACAUUUGAAAAAGCAUAGACACUAUUCCAAAAACAAUUUAAUAUACUUCUGUUCUUAAGUCUUGGUUAUGAGAAUUGACAGAAUUGACAAAUAUCCUUUUCUCCCUUCUAAUUAUUAAGGCGCAUUUGGAUAAGGGUGAACUUGGAUUUGGAGUUGGGUUUGGUAUUUUGACUAUGUGAGCAACAUUUCCAAGAUUGACAUUGACAGAAUGUAAGUGAAUAGACUUGCUCAACAUAAGAAGGCGCAGCUAGUAUUGGAUAAUGUGAGCACGUUGAUUUUUUGAAGAUUUAGAAAUGUGGGUUGUUCUAGAAGAUGGGGAAGACGAACCUGUCAACCUAAAUUUUUCAUUUUUUGGAGGAAAAAAAACUGAAAUCAAACCAAAACCGAACCAAAAAAAAAAACCAAACCGAGAAAAAAUUGAAAAAAAUUGAUUCGGUUCAGUUUCGAUUUUGGUGAAAAACCGAACCGUUGAGAACCGAACCCAGCCCUACUCUCCCUUAUCUCUCCAUUUCGAGCUCACCUCUCUCUCAGGCUCUUUCCCGAUCGACACCCAUACAUACAAAAGCACACACAUACACACCCAAGGAGACUUCGACAACGGCACUACCCUCCGAUCCCACUCUCUCCUUCUCACCACGGUGCAGACAUUCCCCGACGAGUUUUCAUCGUUUUUUAUGAAAGUAGGUCGAAACACCCUUCCAUCUUUCUCUCUAGUAGUCUAGAAGGAUUCAUGGUUGCUAAAAUAUGAUUUUGGUGAAGGUUUGGACAUGAAAACACGUCGGGGAGACUUCCCCAGAUUUCCGGGGAGGAACCUGUCACUUUCGAGGCAAUUUUCGGCCAAACCACUAUGAUUUGGCUAGCCUGCAAGGUAUAAAUCUCUUCGUCUAGCUGAGUACUACAACUUUCCUUUUUGUUUCACCCAAUUUCAUUGAGUAUUGAAGAAGUUAUACUCAUUUGAAUCUUACCCAGUUUUCGGCGACCUCCGUGGCUUUUAAGGGGUUUUCCGGCCAAACCACAGCGAGUUAAACGUCGUGCGAGGUACCAUUCUCUUCGUCUCUUUGAGAACUACGAUUUUCGUCUUGAAUCACUCAAUUUCGUGGAGUAUUGACAAAGUUAUAGAUGUUUAAAUUAGCCCAGUUUUCCGACGAAAAACCUCAAAUUCCAAUGUUCUUCUACGGUUAGCUCUGGCGUCUCCCUCUUGGCGAUAGGCCUUUCAGGCCACCUCAAAGACCAUAGGGCCUUAGGAAAUAGGUCUAAGCUUAAGAAUAGUUAAGAACUGAUAAUAAAAUUUGACGAGGCCAAAAACAUUUCGAGAUUCACAAUACUUUGUGAGAGCUAUUUCAAAGUUCAAAAAUUAAACAUAGAACCUCUGAAUCAAUAGAAUGAUGAAGAAGAAAGAUAUGAAGCAGCUUGCUUAUGCAUGAAGCGACAUGAUUGGCUACCUUAAAGUGAUGCCUUUGAGGAAACCAAAGCUUAAUGAGUCUAGAGAAGUUCAGAGCAAAGCUCGAUCUUUGUACAAUGAUGAAUAUGGUGGAAUCUCAAGCCAUUACACUGAAAAAUUACAAGGCUGAACAGUUAAUGGACAAGAACAUUGAUCAAUUGGGCUACAAGUUAUGGGCUAAGUUCACCUGUACCAAAAAGUAUGUGGACAAGGAGCUAGGAUUUACCACCACGUACCAGGCCCAGAUGAAGUUCAAGGAGUCUGUUUAUCCAAACAAGACUGGAUCUUCAUCAUCUAAGUCCAACUACAACAACAACAAGAAUCGCAACUCCUUUUGAAAAAUAAUGAGAAUAGAGUCUGCUACCAAGGAGUUCCCAAGAAAAGUAUAAUCUCUAGACAAAGUCAACGCUUGAAGGAUUUGGUGUAAAGCUGACGGUCAAAAGUUAAGGAACUUGACUUCGUUGUUGGGGUAAGCAAGAUGGUUAUCGAUAGAAUAAUCGUCAAGAAUUGUUCUAAAGAUCCACACGAAUUUCUUCAGUGGUAAUGAGUUUGAGAACAUUGAUUUGAUCCCACCAAUUACCACAUACUAACUUCGUCACAACUAGCGCUUACUCGCUUCCUCCAACACUCACUUUGAAAGUUUCAAGAAGUUGUCAUUAAGAUAUGACUCUACCUGGUAUUCCUAGGGAACGCAUGUUGCAGAGUGAUAUCACCGUUUCAUAUUUCUAAUUGGUCUUAACCAACACACACCACUAAGAUUUUUCCAUUUCCCAAGAUUUCGAUGUAGAGCCGACUCCGCCCGCAAUUCCUAGGGAACGCAUGUUGCAGAGUGGCAUCACCAUUUCGGAUCUACAGUUGGUCUUGACCAGACUUCCUCAAACAAAGAUUUCUAAACACGUCGCUUCCAAGUAACACCAAAUCUGCCCGCCAUUCCCAGGGAAUGCACGCCGCAGAGUAUUGAUCCGAUGUUGAAAGUCGUCCAACAAAUCAAACACGUCACCGAUGAGGCACAAUCCCGACACAAGAUUUCUUAUUUCAACCCGAAUGUGACAAUUCAAACAGAGAAAGGUUUGCACAACUGCGCCGAAUGGCACCAAUUUCGGAAGUCAGGACAUCCAAAUGACGUCAAAACCGACACACUGCUACAGUAACAGAAAGUCCUAAGUAUACUCUAAACAAACCACGCUCUGAUACCAAUCUGACAUGGCCCGAUCCUGAUAUUCCUCGAAUAACAGGAUAAACGCGUGCUGGCCGACACCCGAGGGUGACGAAAGCCAUUUAUUGAGUGCAAAUGCUGAAAACAAGGGAUAGAUAAGACUUAUAAAUAUAAAAGUAUAAAGAAUAUGCAUUUAAGGAAUGUGUUCAGAGCAUACAACUAACUAGAACACUAAAAGAAAUAAUAUAAAAUUGAAUGAAACAAAUGAUGGAUCCUACACCGAGAGGACUCGAAAAUGCCGAUGCGGAAGUGCCCUGACGCCGGGAUUGUAUGUCUCGAUUCUAAGUCCUGAAGGGGCCACAAAACAAACAUGAGUGGACCAAGUUGAUAUAUAUAUAUAAUAAAACAAUUAUCAACGUACUAAUCCCCAGGUUUUAUGAAGAAAAAAACAUAUAUAUCAUGAUAAACAUAAGUUUUCCAAAACCUAGCAUGUUGUGCAAUGUCUCAAAUUAUAACUUGUAUAUAUAAUAAUCACUAGUGAAUGUCCAAAUAUAACCCCCAAGCCCCAUGCUGGCUCCCCGUCUCUGAGCAGACAGUCAGAGAAAAAUACACUACAAGCCCCAUGCCGGCUCCCCGUCCCUGUGCUAAAUAGCUAGAGGAAACACACUCCAGGCCCUAUGCCAACCACAAAUUGUCGUCCGGGAUGGACUGGAAUCUAUCCCUACGUCCCGUAGCGGAAUAAGGACCACUAGGUAAGUACAAAACCAUUGAACAUAUAUAUAUUGAAAAGCAACUUCAUAGUAUAAAGUCAUCUAUCAUCUAUACAAUAAAGAGGUGUUCGAAACAUGUUCUAAAUAUCAUAUCGUCAUCCAUCUAUUCUAUAAGAACACGAGUUAUAGGAAAAAUAGUAGUAAUUCAAACUAGCCUCAGUAAGCAUGUUAUCUCAAAGCAUUUCAUAAAACAUAAUUGUUAAAUCAUGCUUUUCAUGUGUGCAUUUCUACUAUCAAAGCAUGCAUUUUUAGAAUGAGUCCACUCACAGAUACUUCGCCGUUGAAGAGCCACACAAACUAGCGAAGACAAAAACGCCACUAUAAUUGCCCCUAAUCACAUAAAUGGUACAUUUAGUCAAACUCUACUCAAACGAUUGAAUUUGGGAAAAUGGACUUCAAAAACGGGUCCAGGACGUCGAAAUUAGCUUAGGAGAGGUCUCGAACGAAAACCCGAAAAGUCAACGUUAACCGUUGACCGGGACGGUCAACGGGUCACGGGUCCAUCGGGUCGGGUCAGUCAAACCCGGUUUAGGGUUUUGGGUUAGGAAUUGGGUUGGGCUUAGAUUUAGGAUAGGUUGGGUUUUAGGGUAAAAAGGCUUAAGGGAUUUGGGCUUUCAAAAAACAGGCCUCAAGCCUUAACUAAAUGGCCCAAGGGCCUUAAACUUAAAACAAUUAAAAAUAAAACAAAAUAAAUAAGAAAACAAAAAUGGGUUUGGGUUGGGCUCGACAGGAAAGGCCCAAAGGCCUGGUGUGGUUACUGCUUGCCGAAGCUAAACGGAAGGGAAGGCCGAAUUUCGGCCAUAAAACUACACAAACUUUAAACGGCCAUAACUUUGUCCAAACUCAACGAAAUCAAGUGAAACAAAAAUGAAAGUUGUGUUUCUCGAAGAGACAAAGAGAAUGGUACUCGCAAAACAUCUAAAUCACCGUGGUUUGGCCGAAAAACGCCUCGAAAGCCACCGGACUCGCCAAAAACUUGGUAAGAUUCAAAUGACUAUAACUUCUUCAAUACUCAACGAAAUUGGGUGAAACAAAAAGGAAAGUUGUAGUACUCAGAGAGAAAAAGAGAUUUAUACCUUGAACGCUGGCCAAAUCUCCGUGUUUUUGCCGUAAAUUGCCUCGAAAGGGGCGGUCUGUGUCAGAGUUCGUGUACGGGGCCUCAUGGUUCGACUUCGACGACGCCAUGCCUUUGGUUGUGUUCGUAGGGACGAGAUGAAGACAAUGGUGAUGUCAAAAUUGUGAUUUGAUGAUGAUUUUAGGAUAUGGGUUAUGGGUGUGGCGCGGUGAAGGAGAAGAAGAGAAAGGGAGUAUGGGAAAAAGAGAGGAGAAGAGAUAGAGAAAGAAGAGGGCUGAGAGAGUUAUAAAAAUCAGAAAAAGAAAGAAAAGGGGAAGGGAACCGGGGGACAAGGAUCACAUGUGGCCCCUUAGGCACACCAAUUAAGACCAAAAACCAUUUUUAAAAGGAAAACUAUCCACAAACUUAGUGAAAAUUCAAAAAUACCAUUUUUGUUCCAUAAAUCCUGGGACGGUGGUUACAAUCGAGACAUACAAUCCCGGCGUCAAGGCACUUCCUCAUCGACAUCUUCGAGUCCUCUCGGUGUAGGACGCAUAUCCUUUUAUUCAUUCAAUUUUAUAUUAUUUCUUUUAGUAUUCUAGUUAGUUGUAUGCUCUGAACAUGUUCCUUAAAUGCAUAUUCUUUAUUCUUUUAUAUUUAUAAAUCUUAUAUAUCCCUUGUUUUCAGUAAGUGCACUCAAUAAAUGGCUUUCGUCACCUUCGGGUGUCGGCCAGUAUGUGCUUAUCCUGGUAUUCAGGGAAUAUCGGGAUCGGGGCGUGUCAAAAACACUUUGAAAGUUGGCUGAUUGGUGAAUAUAUUGUGUGAUGGUUAGAUAUUCAACCUAUGCUUAUAUAGAGGAUGAUUGAAGGUUUGCGUUUCAUGUGUGUAGGUUUGUAUUUUAUGCGUUUCAUGUGUUUUGUAUGUAUUUGGUAUGUGUUUUGUGUGUGUCAUGUGUUUCACAUGUUUGGUGUGUUAUACAUCUUUAUCAUGUGUUUUGUAUGUGCUUCAUAUGUAUUAUGUGUGUCUUUUGUGUUUACACAUCUCUAUCAUGAUUUUCAUAUUCUUCCAUAGUGUUUCAUGAAUUUCAUGUAUUGAUUUAGUGAUUUUUCAAUAUUUAUCCGAAUUUAAAUAUUUUUAAGUUAAAAUGUUCAUAAAAUUAAUUUAAGAUAAUCUACAUAUUUUUUUUAAAGUUAAUUUAAAAAAAAAAUAGCCUAAAUUCAUUCUUUAAUAAUUUGAGGUUAAAAUUUUAGGAUAAAAGGGUUGGAGCAGAAAAUAUGUUCUAGGUUAAAACCUAAAUUUUCUGAGGUAAAAAUUUUAGGUUUUACUCCAAGGGUUGGAGAUGGUUCAAGUGCACAGGUCGUUGGUGGCCUGCACUUAUUGUAACAGAAGAAAGUUAAGAAACCAUCUGGUAAUGAUAUAUGAUGAAAUAACCAUCACUCAUUACUACCACAUAAAUUAAUAACAUUACGAGACGGUGCGUGCAGAGAAGGUGCGCAAAGACACAAAAAGUUUUCGUAGAUGGCUAAGCUGAUGUUAUGAACCUAGAGUAUAUUAUUAACAAAUAAAUACAUGUGCUAUAAUAUGAGUGAAUUUAUAACACUCGUAAUCAAGUUCAUAAAGUAGUAAAAAGUUAGAGCUCAUUUGGAAGUGCCUUUAAAAUGAUUGAAAACACUUUUAGAGAAAAUGUUUGGGGUUCCAAAAGCAACUAAAGUGCUUCCUGGAAGAAGCACUGGUUAUGUGCUUCUUCCAGAAAGCACUUCAAGUACUUUUUCACGAUUCACUUGCGUUUUUACCAAGAAUUGAUUUCAAAAACAUUUACACCAAAACUUUUUCAAUCAAUUUAAAAGCACUUUCAAACGAGAUAUUAAUGACAUCCACAUCUCUUUUGCAAUUAAAGAAAGUGGGCUUUUGCAAUGGAUCAGUUUCAUUUCAUAGAAAAGUCACUUUGCCCAAGAACACAUAACCCAACCCAAACCCUAAAUUUACUUGCAGGCUAGCCCAACCUAUAAAGGCCUAAAUAGUGGCUUACAACUAGCUACACCGACGCGGGCUAUGGUUGCGGCUGAGCUCACUAGAUUCCGCACCAGUCAGUGCUCCAAAAGAAAAAUUCGAACCAGAAUUCAAGGUUGUAUUGUUCGACCUUAAUACCAGUUGAAGGGUUUUCUUUGCUUGCUCUUGAAGAUCUUAGAUUUCUUCAUCCUCCAUUUCCAGAAUGUUCAAGAAGUAAGCUUUAUAUAUAUUGUCAAUAUAUUGUACGUAUAGGUGUUUAUUUUUAAAUAUAUGUUAUUUGUUUGCUUAGUUUUUUUUUUUUUUUUUUAUCAUUGAGGCAUAUGAUUUCUGGGUUUGGUUUAAUUCGAUGAAAAAUUAAACAGCGUUUCAAUUUUGUUUUCAUUUGUGUUUUCUGAUUAUAUACUUUUAUGGGUUUUAAUUUUGGAUUUAUGCCCUGAAGUUUAUAUGUUAUUUUGUGUAAUUGGAAGUAUAAAUUUGAAUACUUGGAGCUAACGGACGGAAAAUCAAGCGCAGUGGCGUUCUAGGAUUCAUACAGCCGACUCAUAAGGCGUUGUUGUUGUUGUGGAAGUAUAAAUUGGAAUUGUGCCAUUGCUUCUCUGUGGUUUAAGCAACCGUUCUAAAGCUUGAUCCUUCUCAGCAAAGUUGGUUUUGUGCUGUAUGUGGGAUGUUUUGAUGUUAAAAUGAAGCUUGAAAGGUCACUUCUUUUUGGUUUUUAUGGAAGAUGAGGUUAAUUAUUUGGGGAGGAUGGUUAGGGUUCUCAAAUAUUUGUUUUUGUGUGGGAGCGGUUUGGAGUAGCAAAUUUUUGUUUUGUGUUGCAAUAGAUGCGUAAGGGGAAUAUUUCGUAAUAUGAUUGCAUAAUACGUGUGUAAUGUUGUAGGUUUUCUACUGAAGAGGUGUCUGCACAAAAUCAAGUUAAGGCAUCUGUCCAGCGCAAAAUUCGGCAGAGUAUUGCAGAUGAGGUAAGAUGAUUAGGUUCAUAGGAAUUUCACGGAUGCUUUAAGAUACGCUUUACAUAUGUCUGUAACACAAAGUUAACUUCAACUGCAGUACCCGGGACUCGAACAGGUGUUGGAAGAUUUGAUCCCAAAGAAAUCUCCUCUUAUUGUGGCUAAAUGGUUUGUCGCUCUGUUGGUCCUGCUUCUGUGUUUUACUUAUUGACUCAGCUAUUUGUUUCAUGCUGCCUUAUCUCCAUGUAUCUAACAUUGUCUUCCACAUGCUCGACUUUUGCAGUCAGAACCAUCUAAAUCUGGUGGUGGUAAACAACGUGCCACUAUUUUUCAACAUUCGUGAUGGACCGUAUAUGCCUACCCUAAGACUUCUUCAUCAAUGUAAAAGUUUCUUUACCGCCAAAAUGCCUUAUCUCAAUAAGUCUGGUCUAUGAACCAGUUAUGCAAUCCUUGAUUUGCUUCUUCUUUUGAGUGGAUUAUUUUAUUUUUCUCAAAUAAAAAGCUACAUAGUUGGUGAAUUUUCCUUCCAAAUAGUUGUAACUGAGAAAGCUCGGGGUUUCUUACGGGUUUUACAGAUCCAGACAUAAUGAAAAAGUUGCAAGUAGAUAGGGGCGCCAUAAGGUUUGUUCUCUCUGGUGCAAACAUAAUGUGUCCAGGUCUAACUUCUCCCGGUGGUUCUUUGGAUGAUGAAGUGGGUGCAGAAACUCCCGUGGUAGGAGUUUUAUGUCUCUUUUUUUCUUUGUAUUAAUGUAAUGUCAUACUCAUGUUAGAACCUUUUUUUUUUGUUCAAAUGUUAGGUUGAGUUGAUUUAAAUAAUUGUCUUGUCACGAGACGGAAAUGUUGAAGUUCAGUUUGUUUUGUAUGUCUCUGAUUUGUAAAACUGAUUACGCUCAGGCAAUAAUGGCAGAAGGAAAACAACAUGCUCUUGCUAUUGGCUUCACAAAAAUGUCAGCAAAAGAAAUGUAAGUUAUUUUCUUAUUCGAAGGACAUUAUCGUUGCUUCUCCUAGAGUAAUGCCUUGGGUACCCUUAGAAUAUUGAGGACAAGAUAUAUAAUACGAGAGCCUAACUUGCAUUACCGACCUCAAAUCUAGCUUAGUUAUCUGUUGCUGAUUGUCGUAUUUACAAAGUUGAGUCUUCCCCUUGGUUUGCAGAAGAGAUAUCAACAAGGGAAUCGGAGUUGACAACAUGCAUUAUCUUAACGAUGGUCUUUGGAAGGUACGUCAGUGUCUACUUUGUAUUUAUGGCCAUUGCCAGUGUUUUAACUAGUGUUUCGUUGUUAAAUCUUUCGCCUUGCUAUGCAGAUGGAACAUCUAGAUUGAAGAUACUCAAGACUAUCCGUGGUAUCAUCAACAAGAAAUGAAGAACACAUGUUAGUUUCAUCGAUGUGGUCUUGACUUUACUGUUUUUCGGAGUGUUAGGUCCGAGCUUUACAAGUCACGAGUAUACCCUAACCGUAUUUACAUGUUUUGUAUUUGUACGUGGAGUGAUCAUCUUUAUCAAAUUCAUCGUAAGAUGGUCAUAUCCAUUUUGUGAUACAAUUUAGAGGUAUUUUUCUUAUAUGAUGUAAGAGGUGAAUUCCCAACUCCCAAGCAUAUGUUUUGACAUCUUUUCCAGUGAACUAUAUGUCUUUGCGAAGAUAAAUGAACGAAAUUAUGAUUUCCUCUUAGACAGCUGCGUAAUCUUUGAAAUUUCAUCGUGAUGUUGGUCUUCAACGAGGAAUUCCUAGUAAGCGCGAGUCAUCAGCUCGUGUUGACUACGUUCCUGCCCUUUGUACACACCACCCCUCGUACCGAUUGAAUGGUCCGGAAAAGUGUUCGGAUCGCGGCGACGAUCGAUUGCUUGAGAAGAAUGCAAGUGAGGAAAUGCUAAAACUAGCACAUUUCGGUGCUCGCAGAAUAGCAAAGGGGCAACAAACUUUUUAAAACUAAACGUUUUCCGUACUAGAAAUACAUCUUUUACUUGUUUUUCCUACUUCUCGAACUAUCAGGAGAUUUCUGGCUGAUCUUGGCUUCAAAUUUCCUGAUUCGUAGAGCGGCUACAUUGUGGCUCUGGCUACGUCUUUAUCGUUUGCUGCAUAUUGACAUGAACAAAGAAAAGAUCAACAGCGAAGCGAAAAACGAUCCAAGUUAGCAACACUGCAAAAUCUCAUUAUGGCAAUCGAAAUGUGGCGGCAGAAGAAGGGCAUACCUUACAGACAAUAGGCCGGCUGUAAGAACCAAUCCUCCGACGGCCCAAGAAACUCGUUCACUAAAUGGCAUGUCCCUCCACCUCUGCUGGAAUUCAGCCUCAAGCUCUCAGCUUUCUGGAGCACCUCAGAAGGUGAAGCCUUCCAUGAAUCAGCAAUCAAGUCAAGACUGGCUUUACCAACAACAACAACAACAACAAAGCCUUUUCCCACUAAGUGGGGUCGGCUCAAGACUGGCUUUACCGCAGUAGCAAAAUGCUUCUUCGUUGCUCACGGAUGCAUCAUCUUUAACAGCAAAUCCUGCCGCAUGGCAGAACUCUGUGCCAUUAAGAAUCCAUUCCGAGGCCCUGCCGCAAACAUAAUCACUUACUCCACAUGGUGCUAGAACCUGGAAGAAGGUAAUUAAUCAGAAAAUGCAAUUCCCUAAUGCACCCAAAAGAGAUCAGUUUAAUCACCUAUUUAUUUGGUUAUGUCAAAUUAUAAGUCGGUAAAAAAAAUUCCUCGACUGGAAGUUAAAGGUCUCCCACAUACCUGUGUUAUUGCAUCUGUCGAGUAGUAAGCCUCAGCACAAGCCUCAAAAACCCUGUCACAGAAAGAGGCACAUAUAGCUGGAGGUCCUGACUGCACGCCAAUGCAGGGAUCACAGAUGGAACAUUCCAGUAAUUCCCACAAAUGCAAGCACUCUGGGCCAGCUUCCCCUGAUGAAGCCAACUUCCUAACGGAUACCAGUGCAGGCUGUGUCUGGGCUACAUCACAGCAAGUUUUUUGCGGAACACUCUGCAAAGGGUCAGAUCUUUGGGUCCCUUACUCAGAUGUUUUGGAGGUUUUCCCUCGGAAGACAAUGGUGGGAAACGACCGCCUUGAGAAAUGCAUACACUGUCAGGUUUACCUACAACUAAAACAGAUGUAGAUAACGUUUAAUGACCAACUAGCGUACAUGCAAAAAUCAUUUGAAAACCAUGUAAAAACUUCUUUACAUAGGAAUUGAAUUUCUCCAAAAUAAUUUGUUAACUUAAGACUCUUGAAGAUGAUUGCCACUGCGAAACGGAAAAGCCUAAAGUAUUGCCCCACAAGAAAUGCAAUUACGUUCUUGCUUGGGAUUCUUGGGAAGAACCAGAAUUUCUUCUGGUUGCCUUUAAGUUAAAGAGAUAAACCAUGCUUACAUGCAUAAAUCAGAUUACAAGAGCAACACCGAUACGAGGCCAAAUCCAGAAAGCAGAUGCCAUUCUGCUGAUUUAAGGAAACAACAAGCAGAUUGCGUCCAAUUUCCACACCGCUAUGAAAAAUGAACAAUGACCAUGCACUCGUAAGAUGUGAUAAGGCAGUCGGGGCACGCCAAAGACACCUUAUGUCAGCUUCAAAAAAAGAGCAAGCCCCUUCAUGGCUUGUCAACCAGAGACAUAAUUAACAUAGACCUCCACACAAGAUUCUAAAAGACGCUAGCUGUUAGUUGAACGGCAAGCUGGGGCCUAGCACCUAGGUGGCUAGGCGGGCCUAGACGGGCGCCUAGAUGAACAAGACGGAUUUAAGUAAAUCUAUUAUAUUUCGUGUAAAUAAGCGUCUGUUUAUACUUAAAAAAUAUAUAAUUUCAUUAUAAACUACAAAAUAGAAUGACAUAUAUAUUAGGAAGUAUUGGAACAUAAUGAAAACAUGGGGAACAAGCAUAUAAUGGGUAUUCGUUUAAGUAUUCAACAAGUAUCUUACAAUUUAUUAAAAAAAUAAAAUACAAAAUGAAAGUUAUCUAUUUUUUAACCAAAUAAGUCACAACUUAGACAGGUGCCUAGGUGGUCUAGGUGGUCUAGGCGGACGCCUCAACAGGUCUAGACGCUCUUUCUUAAUUUUCAAAGGCUUAAACAUUAAUCAAGGUAGUGACCAACCGCCUAGCACCUAGGUGGGGAUUUUUGGAACAGUGCCUCCACGUCAAACUGAUUCUAGCCUACCUCAACUUCCCUCAACCGAAUAUGUUACAUCCGCAAUGCGGAACUAUAGCUCAUACAAACCUUAUGUUUUGGCACACUGGAGACAGAAGUCUAACCUAGUGUGAGAAAAUGGAAAUCUCACUGUUGCAAUUCUCAUGUCAGAGCAGAUAUCCAGUGAUGUCUGCAUACAGUAGACUGAAACUGUACCGAUCAAGUGCAAAAAGAUGGGACUUUCUGAAUCCUAUCUGGAUUUUUUUUUUUUUUUUUUGAACAUCUAUCUGGAUUUUGACUAAUUCUACAAUCCAAAAAAUAAAAUAAAAAUACAAAUCCAUGAUGUCAUUGUUCUCCUAAAAAACUGAUCGUUUUCGAUGGCUGCAAAGUUGGGACACUACGAAAUCGACUCCAAAACUGUUCGCUGAUUAAUUUCAACACAAAGGUCCCGAAAAUCAAACAAUUAGGAUCUGAAAACAAACAAGAAAAAUGAUAUUAUAUAUAUAUAUAUAUAUAUAUAUAUAUAUAUAUAUAUCUGUGUGUGUGUAUUUAUGUACGUAUUUACCAGUUAAAGAGGGGACGAGUGUAUUGAGAAGGAGCAGCAGGAUCAGAGACGCGCAACCCAUUUUUCAUCACUCGGUGGUUUCUUAGUUCUCAAAAAUUUUAAUUUUAAUUGAAAAAUGACAAAUAAAGUUGUAAGUGAAUAGUACAAAAAAAGAUAAAAAUAUGGUUUUUCAUAAAAAAAAAAUAAAUGGUACCAAAAGUGUUUCGUUAAAACUCACAAACAAAAUCCGAUCCGGUGAGAACGGUGGCUGUGGUGGGUACCCGGUGACCCAAUGUACCACAGGUCUCAGGUCUGCGGUGAUGGACCCAAACUUCUAACUGGGUCGGAAGGGAAACAUGGACUCAGGUUGGAGGCCCAUAUAUGUUGCCCUUUCGUUUCUAUACUUAUUUUUACAUAUUUCUAUAAACAUCCACAUAAAUUUCUAAUAUUUCUAAUUUAUUCCUGCUUAAAAUAGAGAAAUAAAAAUUGGCACCAUUCCAAACCCUUUCUGUUUUUUGGUCAAGGAGGAAUUUUAUAACAAAGUCCAAACGGACGCAGUAGAAAGAUAACAGCUUCAUAAUUGAGGUAGGUACAAAUGAGACGUCACUUGUACAUUCAUCGCAUGAGUAAAGGUUCUCAAUUAUACCUAAAGCAUACAAAAAAAUUACAAGAGAUAUGGCUCGGCCCAAAAGCCGAAGUCCACCCGAAGAGGCCCAAAAGUGACCCCUCCGAAAAAAUCUAAUAACCCUAAAACGAGAAUCACCCACCGCCUCAACCGCCUCACCAUUCCAAACCCUUCUUGAUUCUUAUUCUCCUUCUUUCGCCUUCUCUUAAUUCUUCUCCAAACACAGAUUUGCCAUUGGGCUCCACUGCAUCUGGAAUUGACAGUGCACUGUGCACUGCAACAGUGGCUCAGAAAAGGACGACGCCGUUUCCCAAAUUCUCAGUCAAGCACCGCCUGAAAUCCUUAUGGCCCUAGAGCACCAAGAGGAGGUGGCGGACCCACAUACCAUGGGAUGGCUCUCGUAUGAGGGGUAUACUUAGGGAAUAAAUUUAAUUUAAAUAAUUGAAUAUGCAACGGAAAAAUAAUAAAUAACAUACAAUAUGUUAUUCCAAUAUGCUAAAAAUGUCUCUAUAAUCUUAUCAAAUAGUGCUAAUAGCAUUUUAACAACUACACAACACCAAAGUGCGUCGAAGUGAGGCACCUGAUGAGCCUAAAAACAGAGGUGGAUGGUUUAAGGGUUGCGAUGGAAAGCAAUAUUGGAGCAAAAAAGGGGCAUAAAAACCCAAAUUUUGAGACGAAAGGUCAAGAAAACCAAAAUACAAGGGGUCUAAGUAAAAUACAGAGAAGCUAAGGAGACAAAGGAGAAGGAAAAGUAGUUGGAAUUGGCCAGAGAAGGGGGUUGCCAUCGACCCCCACCCAAAGUAGGUGUUGGUGGCAUUGUCUUCAUGAUUCAGCGUGUCCGUGUUUGUCUUAUCCAUUUUGCUUUAAUGUCUUUGUGUUUUUUAAAACUUCCAUGUUAUGUAUCAUUGAGGGCUUCAAAAAGAAAAAUAAAGAACGGUUAGAUCUUUCAUGUUGCGUUCUAAUUAUCUUUGCAAUGAUUAAAUUUUUUAUAAAACUCCUACUUGAAUGGUAUGUACUAUUGCAGUCGAACUUUUAUUAGUAUUUAAUAUAACAGGAUAGUGUUAUUUACACAUCUGUUUUACCCACACGCAUUUGUUAAUUUUGAACCAUCAAAUUUCUUCAAUUCAUUCGAUUAGACGGUUGGAUAUUGACCUCUCGUUGAUUUCUGUUCUUUGAUAUUUUUCAAUUCAUCUUAUCAGACAUCCGAAAAUUAAAAAAAUGUGUGAAUAUCACACCCCUAAUAAAAAAUGGUGGAUAGCACUACCCUAAUAAGGUUAGUGGAGUGUCAACUUCAUCUCUCGUAUUUUUCCACUCUUCAAAGUGAAGAUAUAUGAAUCUCAUCAUAUAGAUAAGAUUCUGUUAUAAGCUUAUCGUCAUAUCAAUGCUAGGUUAGGUUAGCGGCAGCGGCAUGGUCCCUUUUGGCCCAUACGUCCGUACACAGCUCCGUUAACUUAUCACGGAUGGGCAUUAGGAUAAGUUCUACUAGAUACCAGAAUCCCAGAUGGAAAAUUUAUCUCGUGUUCUCUGUACAAGUUAUACUAACGAGAGCAUCUUUCAACAAUCCAGAUGGAUAAGCAAUAACGGAGUUGUACCAACGGAAAUUUCAAUCGACGUUAGAUUCAUAUCCAUGUUUCUGGCAUCAAGUUAGGGUCUCGGAAAAUAGGGUCCCCUCUGGCAAUGGCCGGAUCGACAUAGAGAUUCGGAUGAUACCAAUAACCUCCGACAGUCCGACUGCCCGAAAAAUACAUGCGAAGGUCUUUCGAGGACUAUCCAAAUGUAUGACACAGACUCAUUAAUAGUAUGAUGAAAUGCCUUCCAAAAAUAUCUUGACAACAUUUGGCUAGACAUGUCAACCAUGCCUAGCCUGAGAUCUCAACAGCACUCGACAAGUUUUUUUGGCUUUGUUAAUACAACGCAAUAACGAUCGGUCCACUAAAUGCUCGACAAAUUUUUACGUGUUACGCGCACAUUAGUUUCUUUUUGUGUGCAUAUUUUUUAAAAUUUUAUUUGUGUUUGUACCCAUGUGUAUGUCAUCAUGUAACAUUGUAUAUUUAAUCAAUGAUAGAAAAAUUACAUAUGGUAUAUUUAUGUUUUAUGCCUAACUUUUGUAUCAUAUAUUUAUAUUUUUAGUUUGUACCCACUUUUAAUUUGCAACAUUUUUUAAAAAAAUUUGUAGUAUUUUCUUUUUAAUUUUAUUUUGUACCCAUGUAUUAAUUUCUUUUAGUGCCUAUAUUUUUUAAGUACCAAUUUUUUUAACACUAUGAAUACAUUCUUUUGUCAUUUAUUAUUUCUUAUUUUUACAUAGUUUUUAUCCAUUUAUUCAAUUAAAAUGUUUGAAUUUUUUUAUUGUAACCGUUUCUAAUAGUAUUAUAACGAAGAAUUUAAAAUUUAUAGGAUAAUAAAUUUCAUAAAAUAUCAAACAAUUAAUAUCAAAACUAUAAAAAAUAUAAAUAUUAAUUGUAAUAUAAUGAGGUGUACAAAGUCAAUAAACUUUAAUUAAACUUUGAAUACCAUUAAAAUUUUAGUCAAAGAAUGUUAAGGAUUAAAAACCGCAUCCAAAAUAUCCCUUAAUUGUAUGACGAAAUGCCUUCCAAAAAUAUCUUGACAACAUAUCUUGACAACAUUUGGCUAGACGUAUCAACCAUGCCCACCCUGAGAUCUCUCGACAGCACUCUGACAAGUUUCUUUGGCUUUGUUAAUAUAAUUCAAUAACGAUCGGUCCACCAAAUGCUCGACAAAUUUUUGCGUAGCCGCGCACAUUAUUCAUCUAAAUAGAACCUGAAUGUUUUAGGCUGAAAUUCUUAAUCCUGAAUCCGCCAGCCAUACGUCCACACUUACAACUACGACGAAUAGCGCCCAUGGAUAAGAUAUCUUUCUACAAACGAGAAGUAUUGACACAAGCACCAGAUUAUAUAGAUCCAGUACCACAUCAUAAUACAUUACACAUGCACGAACUAAUAUGCAGUUUUAUUAUUCAAAAUACAACAGCAGGAACUUGUAAGGGAAAAUUAAACACUCUCUUUACAAAUAACAGCAGAGAUUAUGCAGAUUUAGCAACAUGGAAACCCUAGCAACUCGGAACGAACACACCCAAACCCUAGCAACAGCGGAGAUUCAACCACUAUACUUAUAUAGUCGCACAUGCACUAGAUUGAAACUCAGAACAAACAACACCCAAAACCCUACGUGGAAACCCUAGACAGUUUCUUUUUUCCUUCCAGCCAUGGCUAAACCGUCCACAGAAAACAUGUACAUCUCAUCGCAUGCCGUGAGGAGGGCUCACAUCUCAAAUCUCACGGAUGAUUUCGAUUGGACAAGAACUCAUAUGUCACACGUCGUAAGGAGAACGGGCGCUCCUAGCUCCAGGGACCUCGCUCGCCUUCUCGUAUGCAUCCGAUGCUGACCUUCUUCGAAACCGCCCGAAUGGCUCCCUGCCACCUAAAAACACAACACUCUCAACAUUUGCCUCAUAACACUGCUCGACUCGUUAAAGUCCACUUACUACUCUUUAAGAAUAUUAAAGACUGCUUAUCUCGUUGAGAAUUUUUUAUUGUGUCGGGAACACACCACACCAUCUAUUUUUAUAUAAGUGAUAGAAAUUUUUUUUUUUUUAAGUUAUUAACUUUUUAAUACAUAUAUCCUACUAUUUAUAUAAUGAGACGCGGUACCAACACGUGUGCGAAAAAUCUCUCCAACUCAUUAUAGUCCACACUUACUGCUUUUAAGAAGAUUAGGUCAGAUUUGAUACUAUUCUCAACAAGGGCAUAAAUGUCAAUUAACUAACAAACAUAAACAUCACAAUAUGAACAGCUGCAUGUACCUACACAAAAAUCCAUCCAAAUUCUAGAACAUUGAAAUUUGACUCCACAGCGUGUUAAAUUACUACUACACCCCUUGUCUCCCUGCACAUCCGUGAUGAGUGGAAGCCCCACCAAUACCAUUUGUGGAAACUAGGUCCUCCGUGCAGGGAGCCAGUGGCAUAUCUGACAUUUCAAAUGCUUACCAGAAAACGGGGACACCGGCGGCGUAGAUCCGGCUGGCGAAGCCGGAGGCGUGAACCCAGCUGGCGGAGUAAACCCAGCUGGCGAAACCGGAGCUGAUCCGCCGUUACCGCUCCCAUAACCUGGGGGCUUAAUUAUCAUGAUACUCCUCGUAACUUUCACCUCCUCCGGGGAAUUCUCACCGUACAAUCGUACGUUCCCACCAUCUGACG